CUCUUCCUCCUCUUCCCCCGCAAAAGAGCACCCCGCUGAAGAGCAGCGCUGCCUCCGACACACGUAUGGAGAACGAAGAAACCUACCACCCAGGUUACAGCCCGGCUCCUAGCAUGGACAACCCCCCCGCUAGCCAACCUUCCCCAAGCGAGGGCAACCGGGAUAACGAUUAGGGUCCGAGUGACAACAUCCUUGUAAGCAAUCUUUUCAAACUCUUUUUCAAUCCUUACCUUCAUGAAUAAAGAUCUUACACACAUAUGCCUUCUUCUUGUUAUACGCAGGCACCGGUGAAGUGUCGUAUCCAUGUUGACAAGCCUGGGAAGCCUAUAGGCGCCAUUGGCCGCCUGAUGCCCAGACAAUCACCGCCACUGGUGCACGGCAUUCUCAUGAACGACGCAAAAGUGAGUGUGAUGAUGGACUCCGUCGUCGACGACCAUUGGGAUUAUGCUAUCCCGCUACCUCCGAAGGAAGGCGUGGAUAUCCUAGGAGGUUGUCCAAACUACCUAAUUAUGUGGCCUAGGAGCUUGGUAUCCCUCUACAACCACCGCCGGCUCUCUAUGACUCCAUCUCCCUCCGCCCAGAAAGGUACUUCUCAUUUGCCGCUCGGCCUUUCCCCUAGGAUACUUCCUCUUGUAGAUGCCGGCGGAGAUGAAGAGUGGGCAAUGUCGAUGGCUGCACAGCUCAAAGAUAGCCAGACCACAGGGUCGGCACAGGCUGGAAGCGUCCCUCCCACCUUCUUUCUCUUGGGUGCCACUGAGUCCAUGGGUGGCCGCAAGAUCGAUGGCAAGUACAAGGCAGAGGAGCAGAAGGCAUGGGACAGUAAGAGGAGGCAUAAAAAGAGGGGGCGCGGCGGCAAGACCACUGUCACUCAAGAUGAGAUGCACCAUGUGCCCGACAUAAUUGGAGUCUGAGAGGACAAUAGGCCUGACAUUCUCAUCAAGAACCCAUAUCAAGGCCAGAGAUUCGAAGACGGAUCCUAUUUUGUGGCUAGGGAUUUCGACCGGGUGCUUAUUUACUAUCCUGGAAGACCAAUGGUCACCGAAGAUUCCCUGCGUGCCAUGUCCAGAGAGAUGCAAGAGCUUCAUCAGUUCUACAUGCAAGCAUCAGCUGGUUCUGAACAACAUGCCCAACAGAUCAAUGUUAGAAUCCCACGAGACUAUGGCUUCUUUGACCAAGAAACUGGGAGCAUUCAAGAACGUCAUAUCACCUUUGGUGUGGAGUUCAACGAACUGUUCCACCUCUUCAACCGCCAAAAGCUUGAUAUCAACCUCUUAAGGCUGUGGUCUGCCUACCAAAUAAGAGAACUGCGGCGAUUGGAGGUCAAAAAAGUAGCCAUUCUAGACCCCACGAUGUUCAACUACGGUGACAUCGGUCUUGAGCCUGAAAAGGAUGCCUUAAGAACCAUGGCAUCUAAAUACUUGGUGGCAUGUCUCGAGAAAUACGCGGACGACGACUUCAUCAUCUUCUUCCUUAAUUUGGAGUAAGUUCAAUUUUAUAUAUGGAACCGUUUGUUUUUUCUAAUUCAGUUUUUCUUAUACACUCUUAGAUACUAAAGUUUGUUUCUUUUGAAAAUAGAGACCAUUGGGUGACACUACUCAUUUGUUUGCCUUGGUCCGCGGUGUGCUACUUCGAUUCACUGCUUCCGAAGAAGGGUGUUCGAGGUAGGUUCUGAAAACCCAUCAAAUCACUCAUUAACACUGCCUGGAAAGUGGCGACCAAGGGAAAACUAACUGGUAAAGGCUAUAAAGACGAGCCUCACCACAACCACAGGUUCCCUUGCCAGCAACAGCCGCCCGACAAUGUGUUCUGUGGCUACUACUGCUGUCACAUCCUUAUGGAGAAUGCCAGCAUGUUCAAGCCUGAGUGGAAGGGGUCAGUCGCGGCGAUGAAAGAGUACUGGCGGCCCCGAAUGACAAUGGGACACCGACGUAAAUGGGUCGUGUAUAACAUUCAACGGGAGUUCGCCCAUCUCGUAAACAAUGAGGUCAUCAAGCCUAGUGGGGACUUCUUCGCACGUGUGGAACAAGUCGUGUCUAGGGUCCACCCACGACAAUAGAUUCAUUUGUAUUCUUUAUAUGUUUUCAUGAAAUUUUGACACUUUGUAAUUAUGCUUAUAUGAAAUUGUGACACUUUGUAAUCAAUGUCGUGAAGUGAGUUACAUUUGUAUUCUUUAUAUGAUGCGGCUUAUAUACAAUUGUAUGCUUUAAAUGAUGUGAUGUGAUGUGAUGCGGCUUUAUGUAUUUUUCUGUGAUGAGAUACAUUCUGUAUAUAAUUUGCUGAGCUGUAUAUAAUUUGCUGUGUAUUUCUUGUGUAUUUACUGUGGUUUUAAUUUUUUUUUAAAAUACCGACAACGUAUCAGUGUCGGUCGACCGACCGACAGUGAUGGGGCGAUGCGACCGUUACUGAUGAUACAUACAUCAGUAACGGUCGUGAAGUAGCGACUGCCACUGAUGUAUGUAUACAUCAGUAACGGUCGCUUUGACCGUUACUGAUGUCAGUAACGGUCCGGCCGACCGUUACUGAUGAUGGGUAUCAUCAGUAACACGAAGUUUGUAACGGCGGCCUCGACCGUAAGCGAUAUGAGUUUUCGACCGUUACUGAUAACCAUUUCUGUAGUAGUGGAUCCUCACCUUUGGUAUAUCUGCUACGGCCUAACAGGUGGUCCACUCGAAGGCCCACUAGAAUCCGUGAAGGCCAACUACCUUGGUUUGAGACUCGAGAUAAGAACAGAUAAUUAAGAAAACGAAAUCAGGGUUUAUCUCUAAUUGUAACCGACCCGUACUCUACACCCGAAACCUAGCCUCCUAUAUAAAGGACUAGAAGGGGGAGCCGGGGAGGGGAGCCUGUUCUCUGUUAGAGGGAUGCACAAAUCUCAUCUCUCAUACACGCCUCCAUGGCAACCUUGUAAUCUCUCUAUCAAUACAGAUCAGACAAGCAGGACGUAGGGGUAUUUUCUUCUGAACGGCCUGAACCUAGGUAAAUCGUAUCUUCUGUGUCCUUGUUAGCCGAUGGAAUCGUCAACACACAACCGUGCUCUGCCUACUCGAAAGCCAUCUAGUUUGGAUAUGCCGAGGUAGCCUCUCGUCACGGACGACGAAGUAUAGAUUAGUUGGAUUGCUAUUAGUAAUGUCGGGUCAGAGUCUUGAAAUUAAGGAUGGAUAGCCAAGCAGUGCCCAGUCGGUGGCCCCUGCGAAAAAAAUCAAAUCUACUGGCGGCACCCACCAAUUGGCCCUGGUGCAUCCAGCCCGCCCCGCGCUGCCACCAGCCUCAGAAACAACAACCGAACCAAAACACCCACACGCAGACGCGGUCACGGACACACACAAAUUUACGGUCGCGCCUCUCGCAGUUACUUUACCUACUACUUCUACGGCUCCGGCCACGUCGCGAGGCGAGGGCAGCCACAUACAGGCGUAAGCGGCAGGCCACGCUCACCUCGCAGCCACCAUAGGAGAGCCCCAGCUUCCAUCUUCUUCCCCUCUCCUAACGUGUCCGCCUCUUUCCCCACCCGUCCCCCACCUCCUCCCAAAUCUCCCCUCUCGGGCACGCUAUUUAUAUUGGGGCGAGCGAGACAGCCAAGAACCUGUGUUGCUGCCAAAGCUCUGAAGAAGAAAUCACUCCUAGCUGUUUUAGUUUUAGCUACCUUUUCUAGCUAGCUGCGUGUGUAGCUCAGCUCGAUCAACCGGCUGCAUGGCAUUCAGUGGCCACGGCGUCGGCUUGGAGGGCUCGGAGAAGAGCCAGCCGGCCCGGCCCGAGACGACGUCAUCCGAUCACCAUGAGGCAGUGGUGCCCGAGCAGGUGUCCGCAACCGCAAGAAUGUCGACGUCCAAGGAGGAGAAGCUGCUGAAGUCGCCAGCCAAGGAGGAGGAAGGGGAGGAUGCUGGGGAGAGCACGCGGGAGAGGCUGAAGCGGCACCGGCGGGAGAUGGCGGGGAAGGUGUGGGUGCCGGAGCUGUGGGGGCAGGAGAAGCUGCUCAAGGACUGGAUGGACUGCUCCGCCUUCGACCGCCCGCUCGUGCCGGCCGGCCUGCUCACGGCGCGCCGGGCGCUCGUCGCCGAGUCCUGCGCGCGCCGCCGCCCGGCGCCCACGCCACGUGCCAGCUGCUCCGCCAGCCCUCCUCUCCGGGUGCAAAACGGCUGCUCCUGAGCGCUUUCUCCCUCGAUCUAGCUAUAUAUACAAAUGCACAUACAUAUGCCUAGCUUAAUUUCUUCUUGCUCGAAUAAGAUACGAACCCUCCUGCUUGCAUGUUUCGGAGUUGUGAAGGCCUUUUUUUAUUUAGUAAGUACUGGUGAUCGAUCAUGUGAACAAUAUUUGCUUUCAUAUGAGCUUAUUUAGCUUAUAAUGCUAAUAUUUCUAGAAACAAUAAUCUCGGUCCAUCGGUUGGUGCAAAAACUUAAUUAGCUGUGCUUUUAUCAGAUGGCUUUGCUAUGUAUAUACAUAUUUGAUGGUUGUAUAUCUCCUGGAAUUGUGCUUUGAUGAUUUCUUAGAACUGUUAAGGGGCAUAUCGUAUGUGUACGUUCCUACUAGCUUUGAUUAGAACGUUUCCUGGGUGCUGGCUUUACGUAGUUUGGUGAAGAAAUAUCAAUGGACUUUAAUGAAGUCAAACGAUCUGAUUGCAGGUUUAGACCAUAAAGCUGUGUAGGAAGUAGUUUGAGCUUAUUGUUGGGUCAGGGUGAACCUUUUCAACACUAGUGACGUGGUUUCCUGCCAUUCUUUCGUUUCUUCUUCUCCUUUAGAGGAACAGAAUCUCGCCUCUUUCGCUAGGUUCUAGCUAGCUAGUGUUCAUUUUGGAAUUAAGAACGUGAUCUAUAUACUUCCUCCGUCCAAUAAAAGAUGUCUUAACUUUGAUUAAAUUUGAAUGGAUCUAGACAUGAUUUAGUGUAUAGACUAUUCUUAUUUGUUUGACGGAAGGAGUAGAACCUGUUGCAUACGUUAGCAAGCUCAAAAUCAUAAAUGGCAUAGCUUUAGGACAAUUUCAGAAGCACUUGCUAGCUAAUAUGCGUGGCACUGUGUGGUUUUACAGCUAGCACACUUGGUUCAAACUGUAGGGGAAUCUUUUGAUAUGGCUGCUUCUAGAAGUUUCAUAUCUUCAUGCGUGGACAGUUCGAUAUGAUCGUGGACUAAGGUGUGCCACUGAAUCGGCCUCUAGACUCCUGUCGGUCUACUGCACCGUCAUGUACUUCUUUUAGAAAGUGGGGCAGAAAUCCGCACAGUAGUAAUCACCAACCUCUUAGAUCGACGAUAUUGAACAUAGACACACAUGCAACACAAUGGGUAUGUGAGCGCAACCAUUCUUAUUAUUUGAAUACAAAUCACAGCCCUGCCCUGCAACUUUGGGUUGUAUGCGUGUUUUGUUUACCCGCAAAAACCAAAAAGAAAGAAAGAAAGUGCAACAAGAAAGGUUGUUUCACUUGACGCCCGGCGAGACAGUAGGGAUAUAGAGUUUUUUUUUACAACAUAUUUGGUUUUAUUAUUGAUUCGUAAAACAAAGUACAAUAGAGAUUAAUAUAAUCGAAAUGAACGUAAACAAUGAAAAUUCACUUUAUAUAACUAAAACCUCCAUCAUGGUCUCAACAUCUCUAUAGAUUCAUCUUUUGCAUCUUCAUGUAAAACGAAGUACAAUAGAGAUUGAUAUAAUCAAAAUUAACAUAAACAACGAAGAUCCGUUAUAUAACUAAAAACUCCAUCAUGGUCGACUCAACAUCCCUAGAUACAUCUUUUGCAUCUUCACGUUUCUCCAUGUAUCAGGUCACGAAAUUACAGAACAUCAUACUUGCACAAGUUAAAUUAACUUUAUAGGUUUUGAAAAGCCGUAUGAGCCGCCCAUCUUAAAUAGUACUCCCUCCGUUCCUAAAUACUUGUCUUGCACGAAAACCACAACAAGUAUUUAGGAACGAAGGGAGUAGGAAUUUAAGAUCGUUAAACGCACCAUGACAGGGGGCACAGCCUUACAAGGCGAGCUGUGAAACCACUACUCCAUUCAUGAAUCGAAAAGAAAAAAGACCAAAAGAAGAAUUGCGAGAACCUACUCCAUGGAGUAGGCUGCGAUGCUUACACCCACCAGGAUGAGGACUGAGUCACGACAUCAAUCUUAUAGACGAUGUCAUCUCCACCAUCUAUAAUUCGAUAUGCCGCCGCGAAGAACACAUGAAUCUAAUUAGAAAAUUGCAAAAUUAGAUGCCACAUGCCGAUUCGUGGUUCUCACAUCUCUUAAUGCCCGAUCAUCCGUCAGAAACAAGGAAAAAUGCCAAAGAUUGAAAUUUUCUUCGACGACAACGGCUAGGUUUUUUUAUUAUUAAUAUAUGACUGUAGGCAUUUUUGCUUACAGUCUUUCACCUCAAAAAAAACAAUGGCUAGGUUUUUUCUCCCGGCGGUAGAGUUUCUGCCCGUCAGCCCAGAAGAGGAGAGCAGAGUAGUGGCAAAACGAACUGAACCGAGAGCAAUUUGCUCAUGGGCCCAGUCCACCCAACUACGUAUUGCUAGCCGCCAGACGGGGACCUUUUCUCCCCUCGUUCCAACGGGCCCAUUCCAUUUCUCACCCACCAAGCCCUGGAGAGCAGAACGGCCCCAUUCUAAUUCUCGCCGUGUGCGCUGCCAUCGCGUCCGUCCAAGCAACCAGAUCAAGUCCUCUCUCAAAAAAAAAGCAACCAGAUCAAGAUGUUGUCGGAUAAGGGGCCCAAGCGCGCGUACCCAGUCGGAUGCCUGCCUGCCGCCUCGCUUCCCUGCGUUACUGUUAAAAUCCGGAAGCUCCACGCUACGCUAAGCUCCGUCGACGCGUCUGUCUCUCUCCCCAAUCCGAAUCCCACAGCCCUCCUUGACCGUUCCAUUUAUACCCUCUUCUCCUUCCCCCUUCGCCGCCUCUGCCUGACCCUGCCCCGGAUUGCAGCCCGGCCGGCGUCUCCCCUUCUGCUAGGUCAGUCAAUUCUCAGUCUGCUCUACCGUACGUCAUAGAACUUCUGCCCAAAUUAAAGCAUCUUGCUGUUUCAUGUGGAUUCCACGUUUGUUUGCUUCUAUUUCCCUAUAUAGCAAUGGUGAUUCUGUUUUUCCGUCGAUGUGGACGAAGCAAAGCAUACUCCAUUUGGGAGAUGAACCUGUAGUAAAUUACGGUUUGUCACUAGCUAGCUGUAUUGUACGCCGAUAGCGCAAUGCAGUGAAGCCCGUGCUCGUAUUUUAUAGCUUCGCCCCUGUUUGCCCGGCUCUCUCCGGUGGAUGUCUGUGUUGCCCUCAUUAGCUUCAGUUUCAGGUUUCUAUAGGGUGCCCAAAUCUAAUAAAAUCAGUAAGGAGUACUUGUCAUAAUGCAUCCAGCUCCUCAGAUCAGUUGUCCUUAAUUGCUUGUAUUUGUAUGUGCCAAUGUAUCAGUCCAAUUCACCCCACAAGGCCACAGACAUCGGAAUUCGGAGGGCUCGACGAUAGUAUUUGCAUCAUGAAUUGGGUCCAUCUUGUUGGUUUUUAGCUGUGAUUCUUUCAGGUCAUUGGCAGUAUCGAGUAGCCAGACGCACGGUCGACAGGCAAUUUGCCUCUCACGAGAGCAGUGACACCAACAGUAGUACGAGUAUGAUGACUAAUUUAAGGGAAGAAACCACAACACUAUCUGCAAUAUGUAAAUAUUGUGUUUAAUAUGCAACACAUGUUUCCAGAGAUGGAAUGCUUACUCUUAUCGGCAUUACUUAUGUCGUAAGGGUUUCGGCUUACUCUGAAAGAGCUUUGUGGUCAAAAGGAACUGAUAAAAAGGUUGAUGCUAUGUCAUUGUAAUUCGAGUGGGGAUGACAAAGAUCCACAUAAAGUUUCCCAGAGAAAUGGAGAAGUUCAUUCACUACAAUAGGCUCGAUGUGUGUCGUGCACUCGCCAUGUCAUCCAUAUCCAAAUCUGAACUGCAAGUUGUGAAAAAUUGGACAUUUCUUAUCCAUCAGGUGCUUGACUGUAAUAGCAUUGUUUGUACUUUUAGCGUGUGUAGGCAAAGGAUGUUAUAGGUCACUGUUAGAUUAAAAAACAAUGAUCCAUAACGAUCAACCAGCUUAAAGUGUCCACCUUUUAUGGCCUGUUUGAAAUAUUCUUUCAGCUUUUUCAUGAAAUGGAUAUGCCAAACUUCUGUGAUCAGACGGCGUUGUUUUUCUUUUGUAACUGCUACCUGCUAACAUUGUCAGAACGUUCGAUCGCUUUACUUUAUUAGCGUUUGCUUUCAGAUCCGUUCUUUAGCCAGAAAUUCUAAUUUGGUUGCUUGGUCACAUCUUAUAGCUAAGAACUCCUCUACCGUUUCAUAUGACAAAUUACCUUUCUCUUUGAGAUCAUAAAGCUUGAUUUGUAGAUAAGUCAGUCCAGCUGAAGCCUUGAGUUUUCAGGCAGUAGUAGAACCGCAGGACCAACCCUCACUACACAUGUUUGGUCUUACAGAUCGAAAGUAGGAAUUUGGGGGACAAAUACUUGUACUACUUGAAUUUAGUGCCUGUAAACAUCCCUACUAUUUUUUUCUCCACUCAUGUAGUAAUUCCUGAUUACAAUUUUCCAGAUCUCAAACAUCCAAGAUGACGACUACAUUCACAACACCAAUCUUCUGCAACUUCAGGGCCAACCCACACCUGCAGCAGCUGCCUCUACGGAGCCACAGCAGCACGAGGCAAGCCCAGCAUCUGCACCUGAGCCCGGUGCGGAUCAUGCCGAUACCGACAUCACCAGGCUCGAGGACAUCUAACGACUUCCGCGCCGCGGCGGCCGCGUACAAGGUGAAGCUGAUCGGGCCGGAAGGGAAGGAGAGCGUGCUGGACGUGGCGGAGGACAGCUACAUCCUGGACGCGGCCGAGGAGGCCGGCGUCGAGCUUCCUUACUCGUGCCGCGCCGGCGCGUGCUCCACAUGCGCCGGCAAGGUCCUGGAGGGCGCCGUGGACCAGUCGGACCAGUCGUUCCUCGACGAAGCCCAGGUCGGCGCCGGCUACGCGCUCACCUGCGUCGCCUACCCCACCUCCGACUGCGUCAUCCAGACGCACAGGGAGUCCGACCUGUACUAGAUGAGUUCAUUUCCGAGCCCGUAGUGUAAUAAUCUUGGCGCUGUGAUCCCGUCUGAUUGCGUAGCUGUCGAUGAGACUUGGCUAGAUUUUGUUCUGGAUUUCAAAUCGUUGUCUGUCUACGCUUUAACCUGAGCAGCUCUCUCCAUGUCCUCAUGUGGAUAUCUCGGAAUCUGUCGAAGCCCAUCUUGAGGUUGACGGCGUGCCUGCCGCGUCAAUCGGCUUCAGGUUCGCUGCCGUUCUUGCGACAUCCAUGGGUAAAAACGGACGGAUCUGUCUGGAAUGUUGUCCGGGCGCAAUUAUUUGGAUGCUUUGCUGCAGAAAGGUGUCACUUGGGUUGGGGCCUUGGGGGUAGAGUCUGAAAAGCUCGAUCGCCCGAUCUUGACAGCGUGAGGAGAUGCCGAAGAAAUGGGGGUUUGUCGCUUUUCUGAACUCCGAAUUGUUGCGAUCUUGGCUGGUCUGUGUUUGUUGGUUGGUUGAUGAAGACGAAGUUUUAAAAAUGAAAAGACCUUUUUUGUGAUUUGAGGUCGGUACCAAGUAUGCGUGUCCAAAAUGGUUGGAUUCGCGUGCACCUGCACCGUAUAUUCGAUCGGCGAUCAGUGUGGGAGGCGGUCGUCCAUGCAUGGUCAUGGAGGGGACACAAAAGCUGAUGAAACAAAAGGCGAUGAACUGGCUGAAAGAAGAUUUGUAGCGUAAUGGAACCCAAAUAAAGGCGCCAAAUGGAGAAAAAGAAAAAGGAAUCGACGAUCCUGACGAUGUGUUAGUUGGUUCACAUGUGUCGCCUCUCAAAUUAUUGCCAUGAAUGACGAUUCAUGAGAUCGAGUCGCUAAUGUGCCAGUUCUCCAAACUCUGUCCGGUUCGUCUCAACAAGAUCGAAGUCCAGUGAACCGCAUUGGUAGACAAAAGGGUCAAGUGGUCAACGUCGCAGCUAGCGCUAGGUUGACAAAAGGGGCGGCGGCGGCAGGCAGCAACAGAGCUUGUAGCUGGAUCUCGUCGGCCCGUGACUGGAAUCCUAGCCUGACGCACACAAGCGGUUUGCGCCCGCGCGGGCUACUCCACGUGCCGCCGAGUCGGAGCGGCGUCGCAAGCACCCAGACCAUCGUGUCGCGUCGCGUCGACCGCCACCGCCCCAUGCAUCACCCCGCAGUCCCGCACGGACGCCAGCCAUGCCAUGGUCCCGCUUCACUCCAGGAGUCCAGAAUCCGUCCAGAGCCAGUGGCAGCAGCAACACGCCGGCAGGAUCUUCUCGGCUCCCGUUUGGGAGAAAGCCAUUUGGGGAACCACUCCAACGGCCCUGGUAAGAAAUGCAUAAUGGUCUUUGCCCGUGUGUUCCCUCAAAAUGUGCAGCGUGAUUCGUGCCCCUGAUCUCAUCAUCGACCGGGCCCGUUCGACAGGGGAUCAAGUGAACAACCGACGGAGAAGAGCACGGAAUGCCGAUGGGGAAUACGGGUACCAAAACCGCCGGUGCACACAUCGGACAUACGACCCAAACAAGGGAACGGUCGGUGGGGAUUCUCGUCUGGAGAUCGACACGCGUCGAGCGCGCGCAUGUGGAGGUUGGUUUGAGAAGCCAGGGCCGGACCGACCCACGCACGCUCCCUGUUUCCGUUUCAAGCUCUCCUGAGCUCCUCGCAAGUACAAAACCAGAAUUCCGCAGUCUCCACUCUCGACGGCCACAAAGCACACCCAAGACGCAACGCAACGCCGACGCGGCCUAGGCUAGCUAACGACCAUAACUGCCCAGUGGCACCCGGGCUCGAUCGUCACCCGCUCAGCUUAUUAAGUAGCCCCGACGCCACCCGUACGCUGCCGAAGAACAGAAGCAAAUUAAAGCACGACACAUCCUCACGAGUCUCACCACUCACCACACGCAUAAGCGCGCGCGAGAGAGAGCAUCGAAGGGUCCAGCAUUGGCGAAAGCUCUACACCGUCCAGUCGUCUCGAUAUCCCACGGCUGGCUCACGUACUGCUCGCUACUCCCCUGGUUGGGAUUGGAGCUGGGACCUGGGAGGCGUCGAGUAAUCCAUGGCGGUGGCUGGGCCGUCCCCGACUGGGUCGCUGCCGCGGCUUCGCUUCUUCCUCUUCGUCCUCACGAUCUUCCUCACAGCCACAGGUGAGCCCCGUGCAAUCCGUUGACCUCCUAAUAUGGGAUUUUGGAGCCUGAGCCGAUGUGUCAGUGCAGAUGAUAAAUUAAUUAGCGACUGAAUUAGCUUGAGCACAUGAUCAUUGAAUGAAGCUCCGACGAAUCUAGGCAUCUGUGAUUCACCCGGGAGGGCUAGCCUAGCCGGUUUUGAUUUAGGCUCAAAGUGAAUAUUUCUUGAUUUUUUGCUCUGAAUGCUUUUGCCAUUCUUCUUGUGCUUACUUGUCCUUGUUUACAAUCAAUUUCUCAAACUUGCACGGCAUCGCUAAUCUUGGAGUGAAGUGAGUGCCAAUGGCUUCUUCUGAUUACUUUAUUUUGUUUUGCUCUGAUUUUUUCUUCUUCUUAAGGCAUCCUUUUCUAUAUAAUGUUAUUUGUCUCGAUAAGUGAAAGCUUAUUAGUCCAUACUCGUUAUUUUUGUUCUUAAAAGAAUUGUAUGACGCUGUUUCUAUCUACCUUUCAUAUUAGAUAGUGGAAGAAUCAAAUUCUGGCCUCUGCAUCAUACCACCAACUCAAAAUGCACACAACCAGGUUAUUACAAGACCACAAAGCUCGGCGAAAAAAGAAAAGAAAAGAAAUGACAUGUCAUGCAAGAAAGAAUACAUUCCAAAGACAAUCCAGCUACUGAUAGUUGGUUAUUAGGUGUGUACUUGCUGAGAUUAUCUUAUUUGCAUUGUUAAUGAAUAGAUGAUAUAUCUAGUGAGAUCACAUGGUCCCUCAAGGUGCUUCAUGGCGUAAGGCAGCUGCCCACUAGAUAGCAUCUCCAAAACCCAGUUUUACUAAAUAUAAGCAAUCUGUGCGUUCUAUAUUGCUGAGAAACGAGUCUAUUUGUUACCUGUCCCCCCUCUGCUUUUCGUCCCAACUUGACGUGGAUCUGAUCUGGUCCAGACUCCAGAGCUGCGAAGACUUUCUCCGAAAAGUUUGCAUUGUCUGAAAGGGUGGCCAAGUGGCUUGCUUAUCACAGUUCGUAGUUGCCAGCUAAACCUGAUGUACUUUUUGAUCACUUGUGGCCACUCGGCACUCGGACAGAAAUAAAAUAAAACAUGUAGGCUAGCUAAAAGGUGUUUGACGACGUACUACGUGCGUGGGAUUUUAUUAGCUUGAUUCUUGGUAUGAUGCUCCAAUCACAUGCCCACAUGUGGACCCGAGCUAUCGCUGGACCGCGUAAUUAAAAAGACUGUGUGCAGAGUUGGUCCAACCGUCCAGGUGCAGCUUAGUACGUAUUCAUGUUAUUCUAAACCUUUGAUGAUUUCUUACCGUUACCGGCGUUCUUCCGGGCGAAAUUGAUGUUCUCUGAAGUUUCGUAUAAUGAUCCAAAUAACCAAACAAAUCAAAACAAAGUCACUGAAUCAUACUCAUAAUUAGCGAUCGAACAAUGUCGUCGAUUAUCCAAUUAGUGAUCGAUCUGGAUUCCCUUUUUGGUUGUGGCCUUGCCGGAGAAUGCGGUUUCUAUUGAACUUGAUGACGCUGAUACACAUGCACACAGAUCAUGGUUUCUGAUUGUGUUACAAUACAAUGGCAUUCGCAUGCAGCAGAUGAAGCGGUGGCAGCAGCAGGAUCAGGAGGGCUGUCGAUCGGGAUCAACUACGGGCAGAUCGCGGACAACCUCCCUUCGCCGUCCCGGGUGUCGUGGCUCCUCCAGUCGAUGCAAGUCAACAAGGUGAAGCUGUACGACGCGGACCCGAACGUGCUGAGCGCGUUCCUGGGCACGGGCGUGGAGUUCGUGGUGGGCAUCGGCAACGAGAACGUGUCGGCCAUGACCGACCCGGCGGCAGCCCAGGCAUGGGUCCAGCAUUACGUCGUGCCGUACCACAACCUCCCAAUUAGCACCACCACCACGACGCGCCGCACGAGGAUGAUCACCUGCGUCACCGUCGGGAACGAGGUGUUCAAGGGCAACGACACGUCCCUCAAGGCCAGCCUCGUGCCGGCCAUGCGCUCCGUGUACGGCGCGCUCGCCGCGGCCGGCCUCCAGGGCCAGGUGAACGUCACCACGGCGCACUCCCUGGACAUCAUGGGCAGCUCCUACCCGCCUUCCGCCGGCGCGUUCCGGCCCGACGCGGCGCCCUACAUGACCCAGCUCCUCGAUUUCCUCUCCACGACCAACUCCCCGUUCCUCAUCAACUGCUACCCGUUCUUCGCCUACAGGGACGACCCCAAGGGGGUGCCGCUGGAGUACGUGCUGUUCCAGCCGAACGCCGGGGUCACGGACCCCAACACGGGGCUCAACUACGACAACAUGCUGUACGCGCAGGUGGACUCGGUGUACGCCGCGAUCCAGGCGCUGGGCGGGCAGUACGCCGGUGUCGACGUGAAGAUCUCCGAGACCGGGUGGCCGUCCAUGGGCGAUCCUGAUGAAACAGGCGCCACGCCCGAGUACGCCGGGGUCUACAUCGGGAACCUGCUGCGGAGGAUCGAGGCCAAGCAAGGGACGCCAAGGAGGCCAUCGGUGCCCAUUGACGUCUACGUGUUCGCCUUGUUCAACGAGAAUCUGAAGCCUGGGCCGGCCUCCGAGCGGAACUACGGGCUGUUCUACCCUGACGGCACGCCGGUCUACAACGUCGGGUUGCGUGGGUACCUCCCGCCCGUGGAAGAUUCAGAUGGCACUCGAAAGGUAAGGAUUAAGGUGGCUGCUGUCAGAUUCUGCAAAUCUGUUGCAAACUUUCUGAAUGUCGAUCGACCAUACCUAGAGUAUACACAGCAAUGUCGUUUUCUUUAUGAGACGAUACUGUCGUCUUUUGCAUUUCCCCCCCUACUUUUUCUAUGCAUGAGAUUGAGACCUCACCUGAUAUGCAGCGACAUGUUUAUUUGUCUUUGGCAGGUGAUUCACUUGUUUGCCCUCAUCGCAAUGGCAUCUAUCACUCUCAUCUUGUCCUGAUCGAGAGUAUGCAUUAUUUGACCACCGCAGUAAAGCAGAUGAAGAUGUCCGGCCUGAGCAUCUCUUGGUGCUAGGGAUUUCACUAGCCGAUCACAAGGUAAGAUAACUGACGGAAACCUUUCACGGAAUUCAACCAAGAUAUCUUUCAUGCAUGUUCCGCUCUUCACAAUCUAGAACCGCACUUUCAGCUUGCGUGACAUUUUACAGGUUCUUUUCAUUUGUGCAACAUAUAGUUUUGCUCAGCAAACUAAUCAGUUUGCUAUGUUAUAUCAGGAGACCUUCGGAAGCAGAACCUUUUUCCUCCAUUGGUGUGAUGUUGGUAGCAUCCAGGAGCUGAAGUUGGCUCCAUACUGACAAUGAAGUAGAUCUGAACUAACUGCUUGGACAUAUGCUUCGCCAAUAUUUUUGUACAAACAACAUUGAUUUGAUAGGUUUUCUCUCGAUUCAUUCUGGAGAUAUCUUCUCUAUGAAACUGAAUAGUAGUACAAUACUUUAUUCGUAUACAAGUGGAACAGACAGGAGAUAAGAGAUAUAUAAAUUCAGGCAAAGGCUACAAAUUGUCACAUGUACUGUUCUUCCUCUCAUCAGCUCCUUAAUUUCAUCUGCUGAUAGAUUUCUUAAAGCAUCUUCCAACUCUGAUAGACUAAACAUGGUGAUGAGUACUACUGACACUAUCGACCUAGAAAGAAAAGCAGCAGCAAAAAUCUUGUUUAUACAUGAAACCCCGGUUCGAAUACCAGUGAUAUGUACUUGCUCAAAUUUAGUUUGUGGCGCGGCUACCCUCUCAGGAAAAAAAUUCUUGCAAUUUCUGCAUGAUAAAUGAGAUUUUCUUUUUUUUAUGAAACUAGCAUGGUGUCAUGCACAAUUGCGCUGGAAAUAUCUUUAUAUUUUGAUUCAUAGAUAUUUGUAUUGUUGUGCUCCUUUCCAUCCAAAUUAUAUUCACGGUUCUUUUUCAAAACAAUUGGACCUACACACCGAAACACGUCUAAAUACAUACAUAUCUAUACCAAAUUUUACCAAAGCUGUGACAAUUAAUUUGGACCGGAGGGAGUAUUAUUUUAUGUAUAUGGUGAAAACCCUCUUCAGUGCGAACUCCAUAAAAACCAUAUAUAAAAGAUUUAAAAAAUUCUUACAAAAAUAUGAUACGUUGGGCGUGUGAUGCCCUACAAAUGUGCAAAAUUUCAAGUUGAAAAUCAAAUGCAUUUGAAAGAAAUUAAAAUGAGAAAUAUACAAAUGAAUAGUGUCAAACAGUAAAGAACCACUAUUCAUGUUGAAUUUGUUUUUUUACUGCUACCAUACGCAAUUGAAAUUUGGACUUGAAAUUCUACACAUAUAUAAAAGAUAAAAGUUUGUUUCAAACCUCGAACUUGCAGACGAAGUCUAAAAACAACCUCAUCUUCUUAAUCCCCGAAUUUCGAACCCCGACCUUACAAUCCCAGCUAACCUUGAUGGUUUUUUCUUGUAAACCCGUUUGCCUAUCUAGGAUGAUGACAUGGCAGGGAUAAAAUGCUUGGGCCCCACCGGUCAUAAACAAAAUCGUCAUGCCGUAGCGUAUUUUUUUCUUUGGCUUAUGUAGCAUAUUAGGCCUACAUGGGCCCCAAACCUCUUUGGUCUUUCAUUCUUAGCCCAUCAGUAUACCUGCUCAUUAAAUCUUAACCGUUAGAUAUAAUCUAAUAGUUUAAAUAAUUCAGAUCAUGUGGAUCAACAUGGUGUCUUCACUUAAUACCCCUCAUUGUGCUUGGGCCUAUAUGUGCCCAAACCUGUUUGGUGUUUCGAUCCUAACCCAUCAGACAUACCAUGCUCAUUUGAUUUUAGGAUGGUGUGGAUCCGGACGACCCGACCCUCAACCGCUACCCGUACCCGUGGCCGGGUAUGAAAUUUUAUCAUACUCGCCACCCGCCAUGGGUACGGGUUACCCGCAGGUAUCUUUACCCGACCCGCUGGAACCUCAGAACAUCAUUAUUUCAGCAUCCGAAAGCAGUUAAAUAGCAACAUUCAACGACAUAAACACCCGGGGGAAGAAGGAGGAAGAUGCAUCCGGCGAAGGUUGGCGUCGCCGGUGUCACUUCCUUCGAAAUCGAUGUACAUCUCGCCGGCAAGAGGGCUACAUGAGCUUGCUCCCUGCGCGGCGUCGCCCGGCCGCAGACGGAGGACUCGAGGAGGCGUCCGACUGGUGGGCUGGAGGAGGCGGCGGACUGGUGGCGAGUGGAGAUCCGGCGUGGAGGAGGGCCAGGAGGCGGGGGCGCGGGGCAGCGGACUGGUGGAGGCCAGGAGGAGGCGGCGGCGGCGGCAGACAGGGGAAUAGGAAAUGAGUGGAAUUAGGGUUAGGUCUUGGGGGGCAAGUUAAUUAUCUUAUAUAUAACUGAAAAAGACAGGAGAUAUAUUCAGGGCUUCCGGCCAAGGCUGCCAAUUGUAACAUGUACUGUUCUUCCUCCCAUUGGCUCCUUAAUUUCAUCUGGCAGUAGAUUUUUUUAAACGUCUGCCAACUCUAUGAUACACCAAACAUGGUGAUGACUUGUUUAGAGAUGAAACCUCGGUUCGAACACCCGAUAUCUACUUGCUCAAAAUUAGUUUUUCGAUCGAUCACGGCCACCCUCACCGCCUCUCAGAAAAAAACCUUGCAUUUUUGCAUGAGAAAUGAGAUCCGGUAAACCAUCGGAAGUCUGACCGCUGAAGUAGUAUCUGCGCGAUUUCAGCGGCAGAAUGAACCGUACCAUGGGCUUUCCCCAGCACGACAGCGACAGCCCAUGUGCAGUGUUCAGGCCUUCGCCUUGCACGGCCUCCGGACAGAGCUGUUGUAAAAACAUUGUAUUUCGGCCUUCGCCUUGCAAGUGCCUCGCCACAAAAUUCUAUAUGCAUGUUAUAUUAGACUACUUGUAAAAACAUUGUAUUGCAACCGGGACAUGAGCAAUUGAGGUAGUCAUAUCAAAUAGUUUUUGAUAUAGCUACAAAGAACCCCUUUGAUUCAAUAUUUUAAUUAGGAUUAUAAUCCUUGGGAUUUUUCCCUCACGGAUUAUUUGAUUGUGAAGCUUCUUGGAAAAAAUUCUUUUUUUUUUGCUAUUAAGAAGUAGUUUGUUUUUUAGUUACAAACCAGUUGACGUUCUUGGCAGUCGGAUAUUAAUAUAACGAUAGCAUGCGAGAAUGGGAAGAGUGGAGAUGACUCUCGUCUUAAUCCAACGGUUGUGAUACGUCGAUUGAGAUUUAAACCCUUUUGUUUAAAAAACAUGUCAUGAAAAAAAGCCACACCUUUUUUUUAUUUGGUCUUAUCAAACCAACUUUUUUUUUGAGUGAAAGACUGUAGGAAAAACUCUCCUAAAGUAUAAUUGUGAGCACCAGGAUUUGAACCCUCCCACAACUCUACCACCACACCAAGAGUUGUUUCUCUUAUCAAAACAACUUUAGUGCGAAUUCAAUCCUGGAAUUGAUCAAUCGAGUGAGUGGCAUUGCAAUAUUUUGUUUUUGCUAUUUCUGCACUUUCUGAAACCUACGAAUGAGAGAAGCCCCAAGUGUUAUAGCAUGUUCAUAAUCUAGUUCAUCGGGUUAAUACUCGAAUGAUGCGGUUGAGUCGUAAAAAAUGUGCGCUUGAGAAAGAUAUGUUCAGAUAUGAUUAUCAAGAUCAGACUUUUUUUUUAUUGUUGUCAGUUCUUUUUAUGGUGUGUACUUUCUUCUCAUUAAUGUAAAAACGUGCAAUUCUUAUGCAUGGUCUAAAAAUAAGGGGUUUUUUAUUUCCGUGCCCUCGGUUCCUUAGAUGUACUCAGUUUUGUCUAAGGCUUAAAACGUUGCUCGCUUCUACACUUCGUUCUUUGGCAAAUGCUCACAAAUGUCCUCACGGCGGACCUGUUAACGGUCAAGGCCUUUGACGUUACCUCCUGAUGGAUGGGGCCAGGUUAAAUCCUGCUGAGUGGGGCCAACCUAGCUACUGACAUGUGGGGCUGAAGCAACAAGAAAAUGAUCCCUUUGACUGUAGAAGAAAUGAUUAGUUUGCAAGUGGGUCCACCAUCGGAAGGAAAACUCAAGCGGCUUCUGGCCACUGCCUCGCCGACGCUUUGCCGUCGCCAGAGUUGCUCUCCUGCGUGACACGGGCCAGGCAGGGGGUGGGGUGUCUAGCAGGCGCAAGGCCGCUUCACCCUGAGGUGGCGCUGGAGCUUCUCAUUGCUGAAAUCUUGCUGGCUGCGGGCUCAUGCGGUCUGCGGUGGCGGAGGGCAACGCUAGGGGGCGGGGCGAUACAGAGCACGGGAGAGGCAGGAAAGAGGGGCAAAAGAAUGAGUAGGUCAUCACAAAUCUGACGGAGGCAUUUGAAGGGGUGGAGGAGCACUGUGCGAGAACCUGGACGCCGGCGGGUGGUAGGCAGAGAGGAGCAACGACGCGGGGAUGACUCGGACCACGCGAGGCUCGAUGAGAAUCACCGGAAGGUUCAGAGUGAUCAGGUGGAGUUGAGGGAGGCGGCGGUCGAGUCCGGAGGUCGCCGGAGAAGGAGAUCUGCUCGGCGGCAGCAACCGGUACGAGCUGAGGAAGAAGAUGGUGACGCAGCGAUUGGAGGCACCUCGAGUCGAUUACUUCUACAGGAAGGAUUCUCGAGCCGAUGUGGGUCUCUUGGGCAAGGUGGCGAGGCUCGUGGAGGACGCUGGCCAUGACGGCACAAAGCAACGGCGUGCGAGCGUGCUCUGGACGACGCGAACGCCGUUCGCGUUCCGGCCAGAGGAGAGCACGAGAGGAUGCGCGGCUUGCGGAUACAGCUCCGACAUGUCUACGAGUCAUGGAGGCAAGGUUUAGUGGCCGAGUUGAGAAGCGACGGUGUCGUGAUGGACGGCAGAAAGAGCGGCCAGGAAGAUGAGUUGCUUUUGUUUAGCGGGGUGAAGAAAGAGCCAUUUUUUGUCCUUUGAGCCCACUUGAAUGGACAAUUUUGUAGGAAGCUUGGAAAUUGAACUUCCUCCAAAUUGAUCUCUGAUAGCACAUAUGCAAUCCGAAUGGAAAGUUAUGCAAGAUGACGAAAUUUCAAAUUGUUUUGAGAAAGUUGACUUUUGUUGACACUAUUUGGCUAUUUUAAUGUAAAUUUUGGAAUUGGAUCACAACAUUUUCUCCAAAUGAACUCAAACUUUGCACACUAGUCACAUAUGCCUAUUAAUGUCAUUAUCUCAAACCUUGUUCAAAUCUGAAUUGUUUACCUAUUUUUUGAAUUUCGAAUUCAAACAAAUCUAGGGAACUGUUACCUCAAUCACCGCUUAGAUUCAGAAUUUUCGUCCCAGAAGAUUUUCAUAGCGUUUAGUGUUCAUCCUUGAUGUUCUCUCCAAAUUUCAGAUUUUUGGAGUUCAGGAACGAUAUUUCGUGCAUUCUUUGAAUUUCCAGCCUUUUCGGCUCAUAAUUCAAAAUUCAAUGAAACUUCGCACAAAUCGAUGUGUAACCAAUAUAACAAAGUCAUGGUUUUGCCAUGGCAUUCCAAAAAACUUGGAAUGCACCGGGUCCAAACGCAUUUGAAUCCUUUUUGCACCUACAGUAUUGUUUUUGCCUAUUCUGCCAAUUGGAAAAAAAAUUCAGACCAAAAUCAAUUUGUGACCGGCCUUACUUUACUCGGGGAGGUCAACCAACGUUGUUUCAUUCAAAAUACUACAACCUUAUGCCGUUACCAUACCCAUAUAUAUAAGAGAAAAAAAAAUAUAGAUCGAUGCGUACGCAAGAUCGAUUACAAAAUAGGAAUAAAAAUAGAGAUACGUAGCAACAUAUACAUAUGUAGCUAGAGAUAAAUAACGGAUAACAUUAUGCAGCGUCAUCGCCGUCGCCGUUGUUGAGGCCGUGCUCCUCACGCAAGCCAAAGAUGGCGUCACGCUCCGCCCGGAUUUCCCGGACGUUCUACCUCCCCCGCUCCUCGAGAAGGUUGCUCCUCUCCGAGUUUAGCGUCGCGAGCUCAAACUCGUACCGCUCCCUCGCCUCCACCGCCUCCCGACCGCACUCGUUGGCGAAAUCUUCUGCCACGGAAGCCACCUUCGCGGCAGCCAUGUGCCGCCUGUUGGCUUCCCGCACACGUUGCUGGUACGUGUGCAGGAGCUUGGCGUGGCGCCGAUUGAUCUCGCACUCGGCCUCCUCCUCGUCGUCGUCAUCGUCGUUGAGGGGGAGUCGGCCGCAGGACGAGCACGGGACGUCCACAUCGAUGCGGGCACGCUUUGGUGGCGGCGAGCAGCUGCGAUGAGCGGUGGCGUCCAUGCUCAAUGCAUGGGAAAACGCCGCUGGCGCAUGUCGGCGGGUGGCGGACGGCGGAGUGGUGGCCAGCUCACGCCCAUGGCCGCCGCCGGCCGAGCUCUCGGUACCGUCUACUAGCUCCUUGUCCUUGGCCAUGGUGGAGAGAAGCGGUAGAGCUCGAGAGAGAGCGAGAGGAAGAAUGUAGAUGAGAUCAAAGGAGACGAGAGAAUCGGUUUACUGCGAACACACAUAAGUAGUAGUGGGGAGAGGAAGCCGACGGGACUGAGAGAGUAGUGGGGAGAGGAAACUGACGGGACGAUCUCACGGUUAUUGAGAGUGAGUGGGAAACGUGCUGGGAUCGCCCUCACUAGGCCGCGCCGCCGCGCACGCCUGCUAUUGACGCCAGUUCCCUACAACUUCCCACGUACGCCAGUUUCCCAUGCAUUUCAAACUGCGCCGGUGACCGCAUUCAAAGCCCACCGAUCGCCGGAAAACCUCUCCCCUUCCCCUGUCACCAUCGCUAUUUAACCCGGCGCCAUGGCUCUGCUUCUUCUACACAGCUCUCCAUUCUUCUCCUUCUUCUACAUAGCUCUCCACUCCACUUCUUCAACCCGCCGCCCAACGCCCCAAGCAAUGGCGUUCGAAGGCCUCACCUUCAACCUGCCACCCCUCACUGAUGAGGCGUUGUUCCCACUUGGCGUGCGUGUGGAGCGGACGCUCCAGGUGUGGGCGAUGUCGCACAGCCGGAGCUCGAUGGCGCUGGUCAGGAACUUCCUCAACACCGGCUUCAGUCACCUGGAGGCCGGUGGCCCUUCAAUGUACCGCCUGGAGAGGCUCCACGAGCACGGCGUCAAAACUGCCCUCCUGGUGCACCUCACCAACAGCCAUGACGCCGAUUACCUCCUUGGCCGCGUGUAGUGGUGUGGAUGCGAGUUCAUCGCAUUCACGUUGUACAACGUGUACACCAACGCUACGACCACGUUCCCCCACGCGGGCGAGAUGUACGGCCUCCCGUACAUGGAGGAGGCGGAGGCGCCUGUGGAGGUGGCUGUCGAGGGGCCUGCGCCGCCUGUGGAGGAAUCUCAAGACGAAGCCGAGGAGUGAGCAAUCGAUCGACGUUUUUUUUCAAAAUUAUGUCAUUAAUGUAAGCCCUUGUUGGAAUAUAUGAACUAGGUUCUUUCUUUGAUGGUUGUGUUGUGCUAUGUCUGCGGCGUGACCGCGCGACAGCAGCGCAUCCUAGCGUCCGUUGCGCCGACUGAGAGCAUCCUAGUGGCGUGUCCUAGCGGCGCAUCCUUGCAUCCACGUCCCUGUCCCGGUCCUUGUCCUCGUGCUCGCGCCGAUCCCCACGCCGCAGCAUCCGUGGUCGCGGUAGCCAGAGUCAAGCUCGCUGAAGCCCGGCCCGGGGCACAGUCAGCAGUGUGCAUUGGUCCCACCCGUCAGGCUUAUAUCCGGUCCCACCCGUCAGCAGCUAACGGCUUGACCGAGUUGACCGUGAGGGCAAAAGCGAGCAUUUCCGCAAAGGAGGAGGGUAGAAGCGAGCAGUGUUCUAAGGCCUGGGCGAAACUGAGUAGAACUAAGGAACCGAGGGCACAGAAGUAAAAAACCCUAAAAAUAAAUACAACUAUGAAGAUCUAUGCUGACUAUGUUCUAAGGUACUUGGUUGCAGGUCUGGCUCUUUCGAUAUAUGGUCCUCAUCUUUUGCGAUGGUUGUUGCUUUGGUACGCUGUUUCUUUGGAUCCUUAGCACGACGACUAUCCCACCGUCUGCUACCACAAGCUCUCUUUUGGCAAGCUCUUCCCAGCUCCAGUGAUGGAGGGGCAAGAACGAUGGCUUGCCUUCGGCUCGUUAUAGUGUUUGUUGCCGUCGCUAAGUGGUCUAAGGACCUAUUUGUAGUUUUUAUUACUUUUAGCGUUUUUUGUACUGUUGUUGAUGAUUAUUAAUAGAUCUGUGAUCCACUUUGCAAAAGAAAAAUUUGAACGAGGGUUUUAUGUUACUUUUUUUAAUUAAAGUAUGAGAAUUUAUUUAUUUUUCUUAUUCUGUAUCAUAAAUAACAAGUACGGAGUACUACGAAAGAUAAGGAGAUCUUCAUCCGAUGGCUAGAAGUGACCUCUCAAAAGUAAAUAUUUCUAAGGACAUGUACAAUGGGGCUGAUUUAGGUGUCUAUAAGAGGUAGUUUUGCUGAGGUGGAAAAAGAGAUUAAAAAAAGAUAGCAGUCUGUCUGUAGUUCUGCAUACAAGCUAUAAACAGAUUAUUUACCAUUGUAUGUCUGCUGUCUAUAAUUUUUAGUAAAGAUUUUUUAGACAGCAUAUAGACAGACUAUUGUAUAUAGUAUCUGUAAGAUUGUCUGUAAAUCACAUGCAAAACACCGUAAAUGACUGGGUGUCUAUACCUUUAUACAUGCCAUAACUCGAUAUAACUUUCAAAUUUGUUCUUCCGCGUCCUCCAUUUAUUUAGGCAAUUUUCGGGCGUACAGAACGCUCUCGAUCGUGGAUAAAUGUGUGCUGAAGCUUUGCACGCACUAGACACCACCAUGGACCGACCUCUCUAUCUUCUCCCACUUACCGAUCAUGGGGCGGCAAAUAUCAUUGUACGUAAACCCGGAGUUCGACCACUCAUAGUUGAAGUGACUAUUUAUGUCACAGAUUUGGACUGCCAUGGGCUCUACUCUGUUCUAUUAUUCCCUGAACACUGUUGAUAACUUGAUCUUAAAGGGGUCAACUUUUUCUGUCUGUCGAAGUGGCCGGUAAGCAUGCAAUGGAGGCCCCAGCCAUAUAUGUGGUUGUCAAUCUCUUCAAGGUGCCAUUUAUUAUUACGGAAUUAUUUCUUCCACGAUUCCGUCGAGAAUGUACCAUAGGCUCUGAACUUCUGGAGUUUGCAAGUUAAAGGUGUGGUCCUUGUGUCGUGGACUCAUGUAGUGGGGUGAUAUAUUCCUGCAGCCGAGUGACAUGUCGUGGCAGUCGUGCCAGUUGCACUUCACCAGUUCCUAGCUAGCAAUGAAUCUUUGCUGUACGUAGUGCUGCAAAACGUAACGGCCGUCUUCUUUUAAAAUUGCAUUUUGUAUUAUUGUUUCCAUUGAUUGCAAGGUGAUAUGGUGCUGUUUUCUUGAUCAGAUAUGGUCGAUUAUAUAUGGGACAUGACAACGAUUUCAUCACGUAUCCAUGUUUGGAUUCCAAACAUGGACACAGGUUGGCAAUAUUGUAGAGCUAGGAAGAAAUGACCAGGUCCGCAACACGUAUAUAUUUGUCGCAUGCGUAUAGUCACUAGCGGGACGCGCAAGAAUGAUACACAUGUGGUGUUACGAGACUAAGACAACAGGAAAAUGAAAUUGGAUCAGACGUCCUCUGCAUAUCGAUCCCACUGGGCCGCGAAGGGGCCUGAACCGCCCCGUGCGUACCUACAUCUAUAAUAACCAACGAUCUUAAUUUGAAGCAUGCACGCACGAAGGCUGAUCGAUGAUGCACAUGCACGUAUUACGUGCUUCUAUUUCCACGGGAAGCACUACUCCCAUGCCGCCACGGUAACUCUGCGUGCAUGCGAGCUUUUUUCUCACACACGAACCAUGACCAAAAGGAAAGAGCGGUUGCAGAAUCGUGGGCCAUGCACACAUUGUCAAGUGGCGGUCGAGCUGUUUUGUGUAUAUAUACGUGGCCGCCUGUGUAAAGACCAAACUCAUCAAGCUCGCACCUUCACCGGCCGCGCGCGUUCUUGCUCGUCUCGGGAGAAAGAUUCGUGCUAGGUCGACUCCGGCCCCUCUUCGAAAGGGUUGGGGUUCUUUUCAUCGUUGUGUGGCCAUCAGCAUCCCUAGCUAGCUCAUCCAGAUCGAGGUAAGAUCACUGUGAGUCUAGCUCCAUGAUUGCCUCCUUUACGUACGUGCGUGUGUGUGACCGAUCUUGUGAUGGAUACAGGGAAUCACCCCAUCUUCCGCCUGUCUUUUUGCAGGAACUUGCAUCUCCCCUGGAUUGGACUUUGUUCUAGCAGGGACCAAAGCAUCGACCGAAGUCGAUCUGCACUGCGCGUCGCAAAGUAGAGGUAGGCGGAGGUCAUGGGCCGGCCAAUGGCCACGGCAAUGCUCCCAGUCCCAAUCUUUCUGUCCAUUUACGCCUAUAUAUCUGCGCAUUCUACCUGCGGCUGAACUUCGAAUCCAAUUAUUGCAGGAGAAAAAGAUGGCCACUCGCGUCGGAAAUGCAGUAGUCUUUGCUCUGCUCCUGUGUGCUCGCUUCCUCACCGCCCUUGCAUGCGACAACAGUACGUUUUUUUUAUAAUCUCACUACCUUGCAUUCCCGGCUAUCUUUCAUGUUGUUUGAUGUGUGAUAUGUCCAUUAAUUCUCUUGUGCAAAUGGAGCAGAUGGCGCCAAGUUUGGGUACACGGGUUCUCUCGGACCCAGCCACUGGGGAGGAUUGAGCCCCAACUUCAGCCGUUGCGCAGAUGGAAACAAGCAGUCCCCGAUCAACAUCAGGACCGACGAGGUGGUUUACAGCCCGUCGUUGGGGCCUCUUCGCAGGGAUUACGCCGCUGCCAAUGCCACCCUCGUCGACAACAUCUUCAACAUCGCGGUAAUUAUAUUAUGUUUUUGAGUACUCUGUGUUUUUCCUGACUCACCAGAUGACGGUUAAUUGAUCACCUUUUGCGUAGAUCGAACGGUUCGUUUCAUUCCUGUUUCAUCUUAUUACUACUGCAUGUACAGAUUCACAGUAUAUCCCAGCGAUUCUGAUGUCUUUUGUGUUCUUGAUGUAUUUGUAGCUCCGAUACGAAGACACUGCCGGGACGGUGCAGAUCGAAGGGGUGAAGUACACGCUGAAGCAGAUGCACUGGCACUCUCCUUCGGAGCACACCAUCAACGGCCAGAGGUUCGCAAUGGAGCAACACAUGGUUCACUACAGCGACCAAGGCGACAUCGCUGUUGUGGCAAUCCUGUUCCGACUUGGCAGGCCAGAACCUUUUCUUAUGCAGGUAGUAAUUGAACCCUUAAUCCUUCUUCAUGUGCUUAGGCUAUUCAUUGCCCUUUUUGUGUGUGGCUAAUAUUUGGUCCUCUGUUCCUGAAUGUAUGUAUGGCAGAUACAGGAUAAGCUAUCUGAGCUGUAUGUGGAGGCCUGCAGUGCAGAGAAAGGCGCUCCGAUCCCCGCCGGAGUCGUGAGCCUGUGGUCGCUGCGGCGGCGCGCCAACAUGUACUACCGGUACGUCGGGUCGCUGACAACGCCGCCGUGCACCGAGAACAUCGUCUGGACCAUCCUAGGCAGGGUACGUAUAUAUAUCCUGAUCUCCAAUGAAGUCUGAAUUUUACGGAGAUGUUGUAGACUGAAGACCGACCGUACAUUAAUUGCAGGUGAGGGAGAUGUCGAUGGAGCAGGCUGCCGCGCUGAUCGCCCCGCUGGAGGAAGGUUACCGGCGCAACAACAGGCCGACGCAGCAGCUCAACGGCCGCACCGUGCAGCUCUACAACAGGUUCUGGAAGAACAAGAACAAGAACAGGUCGCCGUGAGCCUGCCUGCUGACCCGGCCGCGUCGAUCUUCGGAGAUGAUGAAUCAGCGCGUCUUUGGGUUUUCGGUUCAUCACAAGUUAUGCUAGUGUUUCUGCAAGUUGGGUUAGCUUCUAGGUUUGGAGUGUCACUUGUUGAUGUAAGGCCUAGUCUGAAGUUGGAAAUUAGCUAAAUGUAAGGCCUUUGGUGAUGUGAUCUUCCUUUUGUGUAGGACAAUAUAGGAGUUCCUUAGUUAGUUAUGCUAAUCAACAAAUCAACAAGUUGUGCACUUUACGAGCUAGUUAUCUUACCGAACGUUAUCUUACUACUCGUACUCCUAGUUUUUUUUUGAAACAAUUACUAUUUAUCUUACCGGACCUUAUCUUACUAGUUAUAUGUACCGAACCUUAUCUUACUAGUUAUAUGUACCUUCCAGCCUUCCAGCAUUGGACAUGGCCUAAUUAAGAACGACCUCUGCUCUUAUCGUCUGUUUCACCGGAAUGUAGUCCUGCAAACACGUGAGCAUGGAGACGACUGCUGUACUCUUUCCCUUCCAUAUCGUGUCCUAUUUUUGUGCCUCUUGUGGUGCCGAAUGCAUGGGUUCUACCUUUCGUUGUUGUGCAUCAAACCGUCAAAUCGAGCCUCCAACCACCAACAGGCGCCGCAAGGAUGACAUGAACUCGACCUUGUUGGUGAUUCCGCUCAUUGUCCAUCGUGCUACUAGAGUUGAAAGGUUCUUCGACAAGUCUAGCGAGAUUGUUAUGCCGAUGCUCUUCGGGAUAGGUGCGUCUCUCCUCAAUCCCUUGCAGCCAAAUCAUCUCCGGUACAUCAUGAAUACCCUCAUUCAAUUUUGAUCUUCGGUCAAUAAACCUUUUGUGCACGAAAAAUCGUUGUAGGUUAUCAGCGCCAACCAUCCAUUGUUGCCCUCCUCCGGAAAGAAGUCCAUAUUUCACCCCCCCUCCUCCUCUCACCAAUUUUUUUUUAAUGUCUUUGGCCACAUUAUCCUGAAAUCUGAUUCGGUCUAUUUUGAACCUUGAAAUCCAUAAAAACUAGAUAAAUCAUCAAGUAAGGGGUUUUAGUGCUUACGUGGCCAAUUUAUGAUGGUUUUAUGGUUGAUUAGAAUUUUUUACCUCACUUACUGAAUUGAUGAUGUGUGCAGUGGCAAUUACAAGUCUCACUACCACCCUACUACCCUAUACGCAAUUACCCUUGUCUCCUCUCUCCUCCUCGAAUGCCGCUGCCACCAUUUUUUUCACUUACCACUGCCCAUUGCUCUGGCCGCCGCCACCGCCUCCUCUAUCCACCCUACCUCGACCGUCUCUCCUCUCCCCCACGAAAUUGCUUCCUCCAUUUGUGUAACGGACACGAAUACGACAAGCGCUCUAUGUAACCGUCAAUGCCACGUCAUCAAAUCAAAAAGUAUAGUCAAAUUUCCUAAUCAGCCAUAAAACCGUUCCAAAUCGGCCAUGUCAGCACCAAAACCAUUUAAUAGGGUGACUUAUCUGGUUUUGUUGAUUUUAACAAAGUAGAGUUCAAUGGUCAUGCGACUGAAGACAUAUAUUUGGGGGUGAUUUUUUCAGAGAGAUUUGGGGGUGAAUUAUGAACUCUCUUUAACAUCUGGGCUGCAUUUUUCAUUUUUUUUUACAUUUUUUUAGAAUUAUUUUUUACAUGGGCUUAUUCCAGUCUAAUGAAAAAAUAGCCCUCCGGCUCCGGGCUCCGGCCUGACAGGGCGGAAAAAAUGCUGCCGCGCCGAAUUCAGAACAGGGAUAGCAGCGGAACCGAAAUUCCACCUGCCUGCUCCGAAUCCAACGAAUCACCGCCUUGAUGGUCACCUGCCGCCGGGAAGGGAGUUGAUGGUGAAGGAUUUUACGAGAGAUCCCAACUUCACCAUCGCUCCAAUCCAAUCGCCACCACUGCCAAAGACCGAUUGGUCUCUGAUACCACUUUGUCAGACCCCAGAUCACAUAAUAGAACUAAAGUAACGAAUCAACACAGGGGAAUGAGUAGGGGCGCCUCUUACGGAUGAACCCUAGAGCGAAGCUCUUUAGCGAGUAUAAUGUAUAUUGUUUUAAGCAAAGCUUGGAGAAUAAGAUGAUAACUUUACAGGGCACUAGGCCGGCCAACUAUAUAGGCAAACUCUUACUGCAGUAAAAGCAAGAGAGAACGAAGUGAACGAUUGCCGGAACUGGAAACAGUAAAGGUAACUUUGUAGGAGAUAAUCGCUUUGCACUGUAGCUUCUGAAUAAUAAGGCAGUGUUGAAUUCUUCAGUAGUACAGGACCUGACAAUUCCCCCUUCUAGAGAGACUCCUUGUCCUCAAGGAAUAUGUUGCGGAGCAAACCAUUUUUCCACAGUAAUGCGAAAGAAGUCAGGGAAAACUUCUUUGAUGAAAUCUGCAUCCUCAGUAAUGUGGCAUCUUCAAGAGAGAAAUUUUCCCAUUGAAUGAACCAUUGAGCCACGGCGACAUUGUUACGAGGGACUUGACGAACAUUCAGAGCAAGUGCUGGUUUUGUGCGAAAUGUGCCAUCAGCGCUUACUAGAGGCAGGUCAGGACUGGGAACCACUUUGGAACCAAGAUGUUCUUGAGCUGGCUCACAUGAAACACCGGAGGGAUCUUUACUCCCUCAGGUAAUAAUAGCUUCUAAGAUACUUGCCCCACUUUGUGCAGUACUCGGAAUGGACCAUAGAACUUGCUGUGAAGUUUCAGAGGGCCACGAAAACCAAAAGCAGCCAGACGAUAAGGUUCCAUUUUCAGGUAUACCAUAUCACCAUCAGAGAAUUCUCUUUCAACUCUGUUCAAAUCAGCGUACUUCUUCAUCCUGGCUUGAGCGUGAGCAAGAUUCAGUUUCAGUUGGUCCAACAUAGCUUGUUUGGCUGUUAAGAAUUCUUGAGCAUCAAGAUCAGCAGGCCCAGGGACUGAAAGCUCACUGAUGAGAGGAGGAGGAAACCCAUACAUAGCUUGGAAUGGGGAAAUCUGCAAGGAAGUAUGAAAAGCAGUGUUGUACCAGAAUUCUGCAAGUGAUAACCAUUCAGUCCAUUUGGUGGGGGCAUGGAAUGUCAUACAUCUAAGGUAAUUUUCAAGACAUUGGUUGACCCGUUCUGUUUGUCCAUCAGAUUGGGGAUGAUAUGCAGAGCUGUAUCUUAACUCCACUUUCAUUGCUUUGAAAAGCUCCUUCCACAUAUUACUUGUAAAGAUUCUAUCUCUAUCCGAGAUAAUAGCUAGAGGAGGUCCAUGCAGUUUAAGAACAUUGUCAAUGAAAGCCUGAGCUACAGAUUUGACAGUAUAUGGAUGGGACAAGGGAAUGAAAUGAGCAUAUUUUGUUAGUCUAUCAACCACUACCAAUAUAACGUCUUUACCAUGGGAUUUGGGUAGGCCCUCAAUGAAAUCCAUUGAAAUAUGUGUCCAAGCCAUGUCAGGAAUUGGUAAGGGAUCAAGAAGACCGGGAUAAUGGCAAUGCUCAUGUUUAGAUCGUUGACACACUGGACAAGAAGCUGUCCAAGAGGCGACAUCUUGUUUCAUCCCAGGCCAAUAAAAUAACUUUUUCAGUCUAUGAUAUGUGGCUCGCAUGCCAGAAUGUCCCCCAACUGCAGAAGAGUGUAAAGAGGUGAAUAAGUGUUGUCUCAAGGUUGUGUUGUUGCCUACCAUGAUUCUGCCCUUGUAUCGUAAAACUCCAGAAUGAACAGAGUGUGGACAUUGGGCAUCAGGAGGUGAGAUCAACAAUUGUUCAAGGAGUUUCUGACAAUUAGAGUCCUGGAGGUAGCUAGCAGUAAUGUCUUUGAUCCAUUUAGGCGUAACUGUACUAAUUGCGAACAGAUUUGUAAAUUUCCUGGAAAGAGCAUCAGCUACUGUGUUUUCCUUUCCUUUUUUGUAUUCCACUUGAAAAUUGAAUUCCAAAAGCUUCAACAUGAGCGUGUGUUGAAUACCUUCAGCAAUUCGUUGCUCUGUGAUGUAUUUCAAACUUUGUCCGGAUGAUUAAUGUGUUUCCCAGAAAAUAAUGUUUCUGUCGUCGCUCGGUGCUCCGACGCCGGGGGCGUGCGGCCACGUCCCCCUUUUAGGUUCGGUAGGGGCGUCUGGGGCGGAGACCCGGUGAUCGCCGGCACGGCCGAUGAGGCCCUACGGGGCCGGUGAGACAAAGUGCUAAGGGUGCGCGCUAGUCCAAGAACAAGUGCACGCACGUUUUUUACCCAGGUUCGGGCCACCUGAAGGUGUAAAACCCUACGUCCUGCCUGUCUGAGCUGAUAUUGAUUAUGGAUCAAAUGUUUACAAGUUGCCGGGCAAGUUCCCGGAUUUCUUCUUAAUGUCUAAGGACUCCUUACUGCUCUCUGCUGGCUGUCUACUGGAGCCAACUGAUCCUCGAUCUAACGAGCUAGCGAAUGGAACUUGUGGAACUAAACAACUGUCCAACAAUGCCGAACCCCCUGACCGUUGGCAUGGGUCCUCCAUUUAUACAUAAGGGGAUGCCACAUGUGCCACGGUGCAUGGGCUACAAGUAUCCAGCGGGGAGGCAUGCAACUCCCCCCGAUGAGCUGGUGGCGUGCAUGAGUGCCAUCUCCGCUGCUAGGGGCCUAAGACCCUAGGGUAGGAUUAGACAACCACUGUUGCUUGGAUCGGACGGGUAAGUACCCGUCGGUCGGCUCGUUUACUGAGCCGCGUGCCUUGCUCUUUGCCUUGGUGCGACUGCGCGUCACGCGCCCGCCACGCGCCCGCGUGGCGCUGUCAACUGGGCCCCACGCCCGAGGCGGGGGCACGCGCCCGGGAACCCUCAGUCCCAGCAAGUCGACCUCGGGAAGCACCCGGGCCCAACGCACCCGGGAACCCCCUCCCGGGAAGCAGCUUCCCGGGAGGUGCCCAGGCGGGAAUAUUCCCUGAAGCCUGCUAGACCCUUUCGGGCUGCUAGCUUGCCGGGGAGCUCAUAGGCACUCCCUGGGAUGAGACCUUCCCGGGAACCCGGGAAAGGAGCCCACGCGUCGCGCAGCGGUGGUACCCUGGGUGCCACUGGCGCGACAGUAGCCCCCGGGCGUGGGCCGGCAUCACCUGUUCCCGGAAGGGUCUCCCCCUGGUCGGUUGCUGGGCUACGCCCUUAACCGACGCGUGGGCCCCGAUCAGUCGCGGGCCCGCGUCCCUUCGCUGCCCCGUGUACGGCGCCGUUACAAGCGGAGCAGUGGACCCGCGAUCUUCGCCCUAACUCCCCCCCUAAAUAGGGUAGUUAAGGCCACUCCGCGCAUUAUUCCUAGUGAUUAGGAGUUAUCCCCGCGCACCCGUAGGGUACGGAACCGGCCGUUACCAAACGGCCGGGCGUCAUAAAGCCUCUACUGUUGCCAAAAGGGGAACAACACUUUGCCCUUUCGCCUCCAUCCUCUUCCGCAUCUCGUAUCCCUGCGCCCCUGCCAGCUUCCGCCCUUGCUUUCCAUGGCGCCCCCCACCACCAGGAAGGGGAAGGACGCCCAGACUUCGAACAAGCCAGCGACGAGCAAGACCGAGGCGGCAAUCAAAGCGGCUGCCGCCAAGGACCAGAAGAGGCGGGAGAUGCGCGCCACAGUCGCCUUCUUCCGCCCCGGCUACAAUGGCGAGGCGCUGGGGAAGCUCAGGCACGCCGUCGCCUCCAGCUUUAACGAGCACGGGGAGACGCAGAUCUUCCCGGCGGGCACCGAGCACCAGGACAACGAUUUCCGGGUGUUCGCGCACUUCCUCCUCUGCAGCAUGUGGCCGCCCUUCUCUCUGUUCCUCCACGCACUGAUGGAGUCUUAUCAGUUGCGGGUGGCGCAGCUCCACCCCACCUCGCUGUUCCUCCUCGCCACCUUCCAGUUCCUCUGCGAGGCGUUCGUGGGGGUGAUGCCGUCGGUGGGGCUCUUCCGCCACUACUUCUACCCGCGCAUCGACAACGCGAAGGCGAUGUCUUCAAGGGUGGUCUUCCGCGCCUGCGACUAGAUGAAGUCCGAGUUCAUCGUCCGGUCGGGGAAGAAGAUUGAAAAAGAGUGGCGGGGCGAUUGGUGCUGGGUCCGGGUGGAGGACCCCCAGGAGUUCAUCCAGUCGUCGACGGAGAUGCCGGUACCCCAGAACGGCUAGCAGGACAGGUACCAUCGCGACGCCGACCUCCUCCCCAUUGUGGAGAAGAUCAAGGCGCUGCGGCUAGCGUGGCUCACCGAUGUUGACGUGGCACGCACCUUCGUCCAUCGGCGCAUAGCCCCGCUGCAGCUACGUUCCCGGCCCGCGUGGAUGUACACGGGCUCCGCGGACAGGACACGCCUCCAGGCGGACGGCAUGGACUUGGAGUCCCUCAGGACAUGGGUGAGGGGGAUCUCCGGCGAGAUCUUCCAAUCGACGGAGUCCCCGCCGGGGGUUUCUGCUCUCCACGCCGGCGUCAAGGCGCUCAGCGACAUUGUCGGCGCCUUCCCGCCCUGCAACGAGUGGGGGCUGAUGGACGUCACCCCCACCCGGGUCCCGCACGUUCCCCCGCAAGCACCCCGUGGGAAGCAGGUGCUCGAGGAAAGCGAGGGCGGGUCCGAGCCCAGCUGGCCCUCCCUCCGGUCGAUGGACGACGAGGCGGGCCAGGCGGCUGCGUCCCCGGAAGUUGUCGCCGUGGAGGACGACGACGAGGAAAGCAGCGUCAACGCGCCCUUGAUCGUGAGAAGAUCGAGGGCGUUCGCAGCGGCCGCAGCCAUCUCCUCAACGGCGACGUCUGCCCCGGCAGCGGCCACCAACCCGACGGCCGCCGCCGCUUUUGGGGCGCCCGUCGGUACCUCGACGGCAUCCGCGGCAACUGGGGCCGCGGGUGCCUCGGUGGUGGUCCCUGCCUUGGCGGCGGUCGCCAGCACCGCGGUGGGAACCGGUCCUGGGGUGCCUGCCGGUACCCCGGCAGCGCCAGCGCCUGCGGGGGUCACCGGCGCCCCGGCAACGGCCUUCGCCCCGGUGGCGUGGGCCUCCGCGAGUUUGGCUCCCGGCGCCGCGGCGGCCUCGCCGACGACACCCGGAGCCCUCCGGGUCUCGACAACGCCUCGGGCGCCCACGGCGCCGCCCACCCGUGGGGUCUUCCGGGGUUUCGCGCUCCGGCGCAACCCCCCGAAGUCCUCCUCGCCGGCGGGUGCCAGCAAGAGGGCGAGGAGCGAUUCCCCGCCUGGCACACCAAGCAAGAGGACGCGCGCUGACGCCGGCGGCGCGGCCGCCCCUGCGGCCGCGGGGGCCAGCAGCGGCACGGGUGUGUCCCUUGGCGACCCAGCUCCCACGGACGCAGGCCCGGCCCCGGGUAUGUGUUCGUUGAUUCUCUGCAACUGCAAUUUCUGUUAGCCAAACUCACGACCAUACCUUCUCCUUCUGUAGUGAGCGGCAACUCGCCCGCGACAAGCUUCUUGGACGCUCCCGCAGGCGCAGGCGUGGUAGGGGAGGCUGCCCCGGGAAGCCUGACAACCGCACAAGGUAACCGCCCCGGUCGCCCUUGUCCGCCUUCGAUAGCUCCAGCCGUCGCCGAUCCUCAUGCUUCUCAUUGCUGCAGGCACAGGUGCGCCCCUACUAGGAACGGGCGCACCCGUGGUCGACCCUGACUCGGCCGUCGAGGCCACGGGGGCGGAGGUUGAGUCGGAAACGGCUCUCACGUCCGGCCCCGCUGCGACGGACACAGCGGCAGCAGAGGACACCGUCACGCCGUGACGUCACCUGGCGACGCGCCCGAAGCCGCGGACGUGGCCGGCUCGGGCUCACCUGUCGUCCAACAGGGGGCAACCCCCGCCGGAGGUAGGGAGCCUUCUCCAACCCUGGGGUCUCUAAGCGCAGGCGCGGGCGAAGUUGCCGGGGAAGGACGGCAAGACCCUCGGGAGCAAGUUGGCGACCCCGCGCCUAGCUCCACUUCGGCAGCAGGGGCUUCAUGAUCCUCGGGGGCUCUCCCAGCACCGACCUCGGCACCCUCGCCGGGGUCGCUUGGAACCCCCUUGGGAUCCGAGCGUCUUUGAACGGGGGCACCGGUUCUUGGACGUCGUCCGGGACCAGCAAUUUGCCUUCGUCACCUCCUACAACGAGGUGAGGGAGCGCCACACCGCCGCCAAGAAUCAACUCGGCGAGGUGCGGGAGGCCGUGGAGAGAGAGCGGCGCGAACUCUCCCGGCUGCGCGAGGAGGCGCGCCUCGCCGAAGAGGAGGCACGGCUGGCCCGGCAAGCCCUAAAGGCCGCUCAGGAGCCGGUAGUCGCAAAGACCGAGCUCCGUCGGCAACUGGAGGUCCAGCGCGUGGAGCUCCAAGGAAGGCUCGACACGAUGCCGGCAACUCUCGAAACGGCCCGGAAGGAGCAUGCCGAGGUGCGCGCGACGGCCCAGACGCGGCUGGACGAGAAGAGUGAGCUGAUCGCCAAUUACCGCGGCAAAAUCCAAGGCCUCCGCGUCCUGCUGGAGGUCCAGGUCAAGGCUGCCGAGGAUGCGGCGAGAGCGGCGGCUCGGCACGAGGCCGAGCUCAACUCCGCGAAAGACAGAGCGGCCAGGCUCGAGGCCUAGUUGGCCGCCGUCCGGGAGGAGCUCGCCAAGGCCGGCGAGGCCAACGCGACCAAGGCCGCAGAGCUUGCGAAGCUGGAGGGCCGCGUCAGCAAGGCCAGGAGGGCCGCGCAAGAUGCCCGACUCCAUCAUGGCACGCUGAUCGGGGAGCGGCAGCUCGAGACGGAGAAGGUGACGAAGAUCGCCCAGUCGCUGCGCGACUUGCUGCCCAAGUUCGAGCUGCAGGCGGCGGAGGUGGACGGCACGGACGUCACGACGCUGAUCCCCUUCUUCUUCGACUUGGUGGGUAAGCUCGGGGCGCUCGAUGUCUGGAUCGCCAGGUAUGGCGCCAUCGAAGUCGCCAACUGCGCUCGGGAGGUUCCCGGGACAAUCCUCCCGCGGAUUCAUCUCCGGGAUCCGGAGUUUCCCUUCGAGCCCCUGCUGGACGCUUGGUCCGACAGCGAGGACGAGCCCACGCACACCCAAGCAGUGCGCGAGUUCGUUGACGAGGUCGUCGAGCGGAUGCAGAUGAAGCCGGAGCCUGAUCUCCCCGCCGACCCCCCGGCCGAAGACGGCGACAACUAGUUGCCGCAGCCCCCAGCCGCGCUCGUUGCUUCCACUGUACCUUCUUUUGUUUGCUUUCCCUGCAAGUAUGGCACUUAGUGCCGGUUGAACAAUCACCUUUUGAUUAGUCCGUGUAAUCAUUCGACACUUAGUCAAUCAAGCUUGUUAAUUUGUUCAAUUUUUUGUCCCUUAUUCCUGAGGCUGCCUCGCGGGGUGGUUCCCUUAGCCUUUGCGUGUUGCGCCUUGUGUUGCCGGGGACUCGCAUGCCCCACCCUUGACCAGACCAGGUACCCGGGACGGACCCGUGGUGCCGACCUGGGGCCAAGCCGUAGGCGGCGAGCCACUCCACUUGCGGGGUAACUACUCCAAGCCAUGCCCUCUCGGAACGGACCCGGGAGCCACACGGGGAGCGCACUCCCCCCGCAAGCGUCCUCCUCACACCUCGGCCACGCGCAGGUUCCGAGACCGCACUUGGUGAAGCAGCGUUAACUCUUAGUUAAGUAAAUUUUUCAACAAGUUCGUUGUUCCUGAUGCUGUCUAGUGGGGUGGCCCCUUUUAGCCUUUGCGUAUUUUGCCUUGUGUUGUGGGGGACUCGCGCGCGCCUCACCCUUGACCAGACCAGGGACCCGGGACGGACCCGUGGUGCCGACCUAGGGCCAAGCGGUAGCGGGGAGCCACUCCACUUGCGGGGUAACUACUCCAAGCCGUGCCCCUCCGGGACGGACCCACGAAGCCACACGGGGGGCGCAUUCCCCCCGCAAGCGUCCCUUUUAACACUCCAGCUACGCGCGGGAUCUGGGGCCGCACCCAGCGGGACAGUGCUCAGUUUCGUUCAGCUCUUAGCGAAUUCAGUGUUCACGUUCAGACACUUAGCUUUUCCGUUCGGUCCAAUGCUUCGUGACGCUCGGCGGUAGAUUGCAGGCGGGACACUGCCUUGGUAGGAACCCAACUUGGGUACCUGUUCAAGGGAAAUGAUCUCUGAGGGAUGCGGCAGGAGCGCGGGGGCAGGAUCGCCGCCAGCGGCAAUCGCCGACGAUGAUGCUACCACCACGCCCAGGCGGCAACCCUCGCCUUCAGGGACAGACCCUGGCCUUCAGGGAGGAACCCUGGCCUUCAGGAACGAACCCUGCCUUAGGAGGACUCCACCCCGGGAGCAGCCGCAAGACGGCUAUAACGUCCUCGCCGCUAGCUGCGCCCCACCCUGAAUGGCGGGCACGGGUGGCGAGGAAGUUAUAGCCUCCCAGCGAUAGCCCCCGCAACUGGUGAGACCUGGUUUUUUCUGGGGAACUCGUCCCAAGGGGUGUGACAGCCCUUGUUGCCCGGGAGCAAAACUGCUCGAGGGCCGCGGCGGGGAUGCGGUGAUGGGCCGGAACGGAGCGACGAGCGCCGGCACUGGCGUCAUCAUAGCGUCCUCGCAAUGACCUGCACCCGAAAAAGGCUCUCUCAAAGGGAAUGCGGCCGGGUCUCUAUGAUAGUGCACCCGUCGGCACAAGGAACGGAGGGCAUGCACUAUCAUAGAGUCUCCGCGGCAGCCCCUGCUCCUUGCGGAGGUGUCCUAUGGAGGGGGGCGACAAGGGCACUGUGGCAAUGCACCCUGUCAGCGCCGGACGGUGAUGGGAUGCACCAUCACAGUGCCUCUGCGGCGACCCUCGCCCAGGAGCCGCCCACUUGAGGAAGCGCGGCAGGGGCACAACGGCAGUGCACCCGUCGGCACAGGACGCCGAUGGCAUGCACUCCCAUCGUGCCUCUGUGGCGUCCCUCGGGGCGGGCUCGAUGGGGUGAUGCAGCAGGGGCGCAAUGGGAGCGCACCCGCCGGCGCUAGGCGCCGGCAGGAAGCACCACCUCCGUGCUUCCGUGGCACCACCCGCCUUAACGGCCCCGAACCCGGCUUCGCUCUGAGUCGUUCCAUGGUUGGGGCAUGCCUUUUAUAGGCGCGGGAGGAGGGUUUGCCACCGCGCGCGACAGACCCGCGCAGCACCGUGGCGCCCUUCCUUCGAACGCGGCGCAGUUUCCGCCGCCAUGUUUACCAGGCAAACGUGGCACACGUGGCGGCAACCUGUCAACUCAGAAGCCUCGGAGUGCGGUGAGCCCCUUGUGUUGCAGUCCUCCCCCACCACAAGGCACCGGUGUAUGGUGCGACCCGUGGGCAGCUCACGAGCACCAGAGUAUACAAGAUUUCACCCUUUCCUGCAGGUUAGACUCUUACCAGGCUCGAGGUGCUGCAUGUUGCGGGAAGCCCGUCAACGGCAGGUCCAGUGAUGCACGUUACGGGAAGGCCGUCAACGGCACGUCCAGUGAUGCACGUUGCGGGAAGCCCGCCAACGGCACGUCCAGUGAUGCACGUUGCGGGAAGCCCGCCAACGGCACGUCCAGUGAUGCACGUUGCGGGACGCCCACCAACGGCAUGUCCCGUGCCGGGACGACCCGGCAACAGGUUUACGUUUCGAGGCCACAACAGCGCCCUGCUCACAACCAAGUAUGGAAAGACACCUUUGUGCACAUAAAGCAGUAGACAAAAGAGGGAAAAACACGCGAAUAAACAAGGCAAAUCCAAAGCUUAGGGGCGAAACACUUAUCUUUAUUCAGGAUUAACUAGGGGUUUACACGCGGAGGCUGGCCGGUUACACUAGUUCGAGAGGUAUGCAUCGGAGGCAUCACCUGAGGGUCGGGCUCCGCCGCUUCACGGGUAGAACUUGCGCAAGUGCUCAAUAUUCCAGCUAUUGGGCACCGGCAAGCCGUCUUCGGUUUCCAGGCGGACAGCCCUCGGCCUGGUUACCUGCACUACCCGGAAGGGGCCCUACCACUUCGGAGUCAACUUGUUCCCGGCCUUCGUUCCUUGUAUCCGACGCAGGACAAGGUCUCCGUCCUCGAGCCCCCGGGGACGGACUCGUCUGUCGUGAUAACGACGGAGUCCUUGCUGGUAGCGCGCGGCUCGCACAGCAGCCCGGCAUCGAAGCUCUUCGAUGAAAUUUAGAUCGUCGACCCUUUGCUCGUGUUGGCUGGUGUCGCCGUAUGCGCAUACUCGGGGAGAUCCGUACUUGAGCUCGAGGCGCAGCACCGCUUCUGCCCCGUAGACAAGGGCGAAUGGAGUUUCGCCCGUUGCCCGACUAGGUGUGGUCCGAAUGGACCACAGCACGGGCUAGAGUUCUUCGAUCCAGUGCUUCCCGUGGCCUUUGAGCUUGUCAAAGGUUCUCGUCUUGAGCCCCCGCAGGACCUCUGCGUUGGCUCGCUCCGCCUGCCCGUGGCUUCUCGGGUGAGCGACGGACGCGAAGCGCAGCUUAGUGCCCAUGUCUUCGCAGUAGGCUUGAAACGCCGCGCUCGUGAAUUGCGUGCUGUUGUCGGUGAUAAUGCUGUUAGGAACACCAAACCGGCACACAAUGCCCUUGAAGAACUUGAUGGCCGCCUGGGCGGUCACCUUCCGCACUGGUUCCACCUCCACCCAUUUGGAGAACUUGUCGAUGGCCACGAACAAGUAUUCGUAACCGCCAACCGCCCUUGGUAGCUUGCCGACGAUGUCCAGCCCCCAGACCGCGAACGGCCAUGAGGACGGGAUGACAUGCAGGGCCUGCGCUGGUUGGUUGCUCUUCUUUGAGUGGAACCGGCAUGCCUCGCACGUCUUCACAAGCCGCUCCGCAUCGGCCGGCUAGAGCCUGGGAGGCCACAUGGUGUGAACAUGUGCCUCGAUGUAUGUCUUCCAGCAGUGCGCACCCUUUUUCCUGCGGCACACAGAUGAGUUUGACGCCGUUCGCACGCCUGCGGUAGAUGUUACCAUCUACCCCAGUGUACAUCUUGGCUUGCCGCGCUACACGCUCCGCGGCAACGUCAUCUUCCGGGAGAGCCUUCCCUUUCAAAUAGUGGGAGAGCCUUCCGCUGUGUUGUUGGUGGAGUUAGCGAAGUCGAGUUGGACAGCGAACCUCAACCGGUCCCCUGUUGGUGACUCGAUGAUGACCCUGGCGCCUACUCCCUGAAGACUGAAGACCUAGUGGUCCCCGUCCAGCUUGCCGGGCAGGCUGGUCUCCGACUCACCUUCUUCCACGCCCGUGGACGUCCAUUCUGCGACGAAGUCCUCCAGGGCCGUGCUCUUGAUGCUUUUGGAGUUGGCGAAGUGGAGGUCGAACUCCGACAACUCCAUCCUCCAUUCGGCCACCCUUCCGGUGGCUUCACCGUUAGUGAGGGCUCGCUCAAGGCAGAACCCGGACACCACCGUGAUACGGUGCGCCUGGAAGUAGUGGCGCAACUUGCGGGACGCAAAGAGAAUCCCCAGAAGGAGCUUCCGUACUUGCGGGUACCUUGUCCGCGCGUCGUGUAGCAUCGUACUAACAAAGUACAUCGGGUGCUGCACCAACCGCUUCCGCGGUGCCGAGGUUGCCGGCUUGGUGGCGGUCCCCGGGUCUGAGGCGGUUGCCGGGGGCCGCUCAGCCCCCUGCCCCGCCGCCCCAGUCCCCGGGACGUGUUCCUCCCUCUCGGCAACCAGCACCGAGCUGACCACCUGGUCAGUCGCCGUUAGGUAGAGUAGCAGCGGCUCGCCCAUCUUGGGGACGACGAGGAUGAGCGGCGACCUCAGGUACUGCUUGAGUUCCUGGAACGCUGCCUCGGCCUCGGGAGUCCAGUCGACUGGACCCUUCUUCUUCAUCACCCUGAAGAAAGGCAAGGCACGCUCGCCCAGCCUGGAGAUGAAACGUCCCAACGCGGCAACACAGCCGUUGAGGCGCUGGACAUCUUUCACCUUGUGGGGGCCUCCAUCUUCUCGAUGGCUUCUAUCUUGGUCGGGUUGGCUUGUAUCCCCCUGUGUGAAACCAAGAAACCCAGAAGCUGCCCGAAGUUGACACCGAAGGUGCACUUAUCAGGGUUCAGCUUGAGCUUGAUCCUGCGGAGGUUGUCGAACGUCUCCUGCAGGUCAUCAACCAGCGAGUCCCCACGCUUCGAUUUGAUGACGAUGUCGUCCAUGUAGGUCUCCGCGUUACAGCCUAGCUGGGGCCCCAAACAUUCGCGCAGGGCGCGCUGGAAUGUGGAGCCCGCGUUCUUCAACCCGAAAGGCAUGCAUGUAUAGCAAUAGCAGCCAACCGGGGUGAUAAACGCUGUCUUUUCCUCAUCCUUGACCGCCAUCUUGAUUUGAUGGUAGCCGGAGAAAGUAUCCAGAAAACUCAGCAAGUCACAACCAGCGGUAGAUCGGUAAAAUCUACGCACAUGCGAAGCUUAUUCCCUACUUUAGGCACUACUAUAGGGUUAGCCAGCCAAGUGGGUUACAAAACUUCCCUGAUCGCCCCGGCAGCCCUGAGCUUGCUCACCUCUUGUUUGAUGAAAUCUUUCCGCUCUUGUGCUUGCCGCCGGAUUUUCUGCUUGACGGGGUGUGCAUCCGGGCGCACCGCGAGCUGAUGCUCAAUCACCUCCCUGGGGACUCCGGGAAGGUCCGACUUUUGCCAGGCGAACACGUCAGCGUUAUCCCGGAGGAAGGUGACGAGGGCACUUUCCUAUUCGGCGGUCAGGUUCGCACCGACGGUAACGGUGCGCUCCUUGUCGCCGGCUUUGAGGGGUAGCUUCUUCACUUUGGCAGCCUCCUCCCGGAGCCCCUGCCCCUUGCCGGGGCGUGAGCCCGAGCUUGCGCCUGCCCCGGCACGCCUUUGCGGGGUAGUGCGGGCCUUCUUCGUUGCCGGGGCAUCACCCGGCAAGCCGUCGUCCUCGACAACAUCCUCGUCGCCGGCUUCAGCUGCAGCAGCGGCCCGAACAACCUCGCCAACGCACUAAGCCGCAUCUUUGAGGUCACACCGGAUGGAGAGGACCCCAUAGACGGACGGCAUCUUCAUCACGCCAUAGGCGCAAUGUGUGGCCGCCAUGACCUUGAUCAGCGCUGGCCGACCAAGGAUCCCGUUGUAGGGCAACGGGGUAUGCACCACGUCGAACACUAUGUGCUCGGUCCUGAACGCUUCCCGGGAGCCGAAGGUGACCGGCAGCGUGAUGCGUCCCAGCGGGCGCACGAUCCCGGGGUUCACCCCCCGGAAUGGUUCGGUGGGCUUCAGCUGCUCCAUCGGCACCUGGAGCUUUUCCACGAGCCUGGCGGACAGGAGGUUAAGCCCCGCUCCGUUAUCCACCAGCACCUUGGUCACCGUCAUAUUGCUAAUGAUCGGCGAGACGACGAAGGGUAUUACCCCGGAACCCAGCUGUCGUGCUGGGUGAUCGUCGGCGCUGAAGGUGAUCGGCACGUGCGACCACCUCAGGGGCUAUUGCGGCUCCGCGUCCGGCAACAGCGCGCACACGUCGCGGAUGAGGCGCUUCACCGCGGCGUGGGAUCGGAGAGCGUAAGCUCCCCCAUGGAUGUAGGCGACGCCAUGAGGCUCCUGAAAGCCCAGUUCGUCGCCGCCGGUAUAGUCGGACUCGCGCUGCUCCUCAGCGCGCGCCCUGUCGCGUGCCUGAGGAGGGCGUUUCCGCCCAGCGCGGGGCUGACCGUGCCCCCCUUGGGGUUCACCCCUGCCGGCGCUACCGCCGGCGCCUCGGACCCGCUCCGGGAUCGCUCGGGCAAUCUCGGGAGAGAUUCCCGAUGUCGCCACAAUUAAAGUAGGCGCCGGCGGCAUGGUGCUCCUUGUGGCGCUGCUCCCGCCACUGCUUGAUCCCCUACAGAACGCGGCAAUUCUGUGCGUCAUGGGUGGAGUUGCUAUGGAUGGGGCAGCGGGGCGCGUCGCCCUGCUUCCUGCCAGACUCUCCACCCGGCGAGGCCUUCUUAGCGGGCCUCCCGGCAGGUGCCCCCGAGUCCGCAGCGAGGACUUGUUUCCCGCUGCGCUUGCGGGAACCCUUCUUCUGCGAGCCCUCGCCAGGGCUCGCGGCAGCCUGGGCGCUAGGCGCCCUUCCUCGGCCAUGGCGCAUUUGUGCGCCAGGGCAUACAAGUCCUGCGUCGUCCGGAUCCGAUGCGUGCUCAGCUUCUCGCACAUCUUGGGAUCGCGGACGUUGAUAGCGAAGGUGUUGAUAAUGGCGGCCGCCUCCGCCUCCGGGAUGGAAUAGGAGAGGUUGGAAAAGCGGUUGACAAAGGCCCGCAGCAUCUCUCCCGGUUUUUGCACGAUAGUGUGCAGCUCCGCCAUGGUUCCCGGGCGCUUAUAGCCGCCCUGUAACGCGCUCACAAACUGCUCACGCAGGUCCGCCCAAGUGGCAAUAGACCCGGUAGGCAGGUUGAGCAACCAGGUUCGCGCUGAUCCUUUCAGGACCAUCGGGAACCUGUUUGCCCUGACCUUGUCGUCGGCGCCGAUGGCAUGCAUGCCCAGCGUGUAGGUCAGGAGGAAAUCCUUGGGGUUGGCGGUCCCCUCGUACCGUACCGAGCGCAGGCGCUCGAAACUUACGGGGCCACGUCACCCGCCGCAGCUCGCGAGUGAACGCGGUGUAGCCGUCCUCGGGGCCCAUGGGAGCGUCUUCCUGCUCCUGUGGGCGCUGGCGCUCCACCUCGCGCCUGCGCCGACGCUCCAAGCGCUGGUGCAGAUCCUCCUGCUGGCGGGCAUUCAAGAUGCCACGCGCAUCGCCCCCCGGAACGGUGGGCGGUGAAUUCGAGAACCCCUCCAGGCCCCCGUCUCCUGGGCCUCGCUGAGGAGGGGGAGGGUUCUCCCCCUGUCGUGAGGCGGGUGGCGCGUCUCCGCGCUCCGGGUUCUCCCCGUGGCCGGAGCCUACCGGGGCACCCUCGCCUUGCGGCUGCUGGGCGGUCAGGGCGAGAAGCGUUUCCACCUCCUCGCCCCACGUCUCGUGUGCCGGCGUGCCUUGCUGCGGCUCGUACCGCACCAUGACAUGCGCGGUGAUGAUGGCUUCAGCCGGGGUCCGGACGAGGGGCACCCGGUUUCCCGAACGGCUGCUUCCCGCUCUGGUCCCGGACGCCUCCGGGUGUGCAGGGUGUGAACCCCCGGGGGUUGCCCGUGACGCGGCGUGCUCCUGGUGCCGCUGCCGCGGGGCGUCCUCGGCCCGCGACUCAACCUGCUAGCUAGCCCGGGCGACGCCGUGCGUGCUCGCCCGAUCGCCCCCGGCACUAGGGGCAGCCGGUCCCCUCGGCCGAUUGUCGGUCGAUGGCCGAGGAGGCGGCGGGGGCAGCUGCGUUUGCUGCACCCUCAAGGGCUCAGGGUUCUCCUGAGCCCCCGACUCGGGUCGCACGUCGUGCGACCGCGUGUGCGCCGCUGGGGCCUCACGCGGGUCUAUGCGUGAGUCACCAGCCCGCUUGGGGGACAUGGUGACUAGACUCGUCGGCGAAGAAGAGCGGAGCCGACGCCAAUGGAAACUCUACUGCCGGCGAUCUCCGGCGUUGUCCACUCCCACGCCCCUUACCUGGCGCGCCAGAUGUCGUCGCUCGGUGCUCCAACCCCGGGGGCGUGCGGCCACGUCCCCCUUUUAGGUUCGGUAGGGGCGUGGCCGCACGCCCCGGUGUCGGAGCACCGUGCGACGACAUCUGGCGCACCAGGUAGGGGGCGCGGGAGUAGAGCUCCUCGGUAGCCGCCGGCAGCGGCAUCAGCAUCAACGUCGGCCUCGCUUUUUUCACUGAUGGGACUAGUCGCCAUGCCGCCCAAGCGGGCUGGUGAUCCACGGAUAGACUCACGUGAAGCCCCAGCGGCACACACGCGGUCGCACGACGUGCGGCCCGAGUCGGGGGCUCAGGAGAAUCCCAAACCCUCGAGAGUGCAGCAACCACAGCUGCCUCCCCUGCCUCCUCGGCCGUCUGCGGACAAUCGGCCGAGCGGACCGGCUGCCCCCAGUGCCGGGGCCAGUCGCGCAAGCCGGCAUGGUGCCGCCCGCGCCGGCUAGCAAGUUGAGUCGCGGGCCGAGGAUGCUCCGCGGCAGCGGCACCAGGAGCACACCGCGUCGCGGGCAACCCCUAAGGGUUCACACCCUGCGCAUCCGGAGGCGUCCGGGGCCAGGGCGGGAAGCAGCCGUUCGGGAAACCGGCUGCCCCCCGUGCGAACCCCGGCGGAAGCCAUCGUCGCGGCGCGCGUCAUGGUGCGGUACGAGCCGCAGAAGGGCACGCCGGCGCAUGAGACGUGGGGCGAGGAGCUGGAAGCGCUUCUCGCCCUGGCCGCCCAGCAGCCGCAAGGCGAAGGCGCCCCGGUAGGCUCCGGCCACGGGCAGAACACGGAGCGCGGAGACGCGCCACCCGCCUCACGACAGGGGGAGAACCCUCCCCCUCCUCAGGGAGGCCAAGGAGACAGGGGCCCGGAGGGGUCCUCAAACUCAUCGCCCACCAUUCCAGAGGGCGACGCGUGUGGCCUCUUGAAUGCCCGCAAGCAGGAGGAUUUGCGCCCACGCUUGGAGCCGGCGCAGGUGUGAGGUAGAGCGCCAGCGCCCACAGGAGCAGGAAGACGCUCCCAUGGGCCCCGAGGACAGUUGCACCGCGUUCGCAUGCGAGCUGCGGCGGGUGACGUGGCCUCGCAAGUUCCGGGCACCCGCACUCGAUACGUACGACGGGACCGCCAACCCCAAGGAUUUCCUCCUGACCUACACGCUGGGCAUGCAUGCCAUCGGCGCCGACGACAAGGUCAGGGCAAACAGGUUCCCGAUGGUCCUGAAAGGAUCAGCGCGAACCUGGUUGCUCAACCUGCCUACCGGGUCCAUUGCCACUUGGGCGGACCUGCGCGAGCAGUUUGUGAGCGCGUUCCAGGGCGGCUAUAAACGCCCGGGAACCAUGGCGGAGCUGCACACUAUUGUGCAGAGGCCGGGAGAGACGUUGCCAGCCUUCGUCAACCGUUUAUCUAACCUCUCCUAUUCCAUCCCAGAGGCGGAGGCGGCCGCCAUCAUCAACACCUUCGCCAUCAACGUCCGCGAUCCCAAGAUGCGCGAGAAGCUGAGCACGCAUUGGAUCCGGACGACGCAGGACUUGUACGCCCUGGCGUACAAAUACGCCAUGGCCGAGGAAGGGCGCCUAGUGCCCGAGCUGGCAGCCAAGGCAGCCGCGAGCCCUGGCGAGGGCUCGCCGAAGAAGGGUUCCCGCAAGCGCAGCAGGAAGCAAGUCCUCGCUGCGGACUCGGGGGCUCCUGCCGCGAGGCCCGCAAAGAAGGCCUUGCCAAGUGGUGGGUCUGGCGGGAAGCAGGGCGACGCGUCCUGCUGCCCCAUCCACAGCAACUCCACCCUUGACGCGCAGAACUGCCGCGUUCUGCAGGGGAUCAAGCAGCGGCGGGAGUAGCGCCAUGAGGAGCGUCGUGCCGCCGGCACCUGCUUCAACUGCGGCAACAUCGGGCAUCUCUCCGGAGACUGCCUGAACGACCCCAGAGCAGGGCCGAGGCCGGCCGGCGGUGGUGCCGGCAGGGAUGAACCCCAAGUGGGGCGCGGUCAGCCCCGCGCCGACUGGGAACGCCCUCCCCAGGUCGCGACAGGGCACGCGCUGAGGGGCAGCGCGAGUUCGACUGUAUUGGCGGCGACGAGCCGGGCUUCCAGGAGCCUUGCAGCGUCGCCUGCAUCCAUGAUGGAGCUUACGCUCUCCCAUCCCACGCCGCGGUGAAGCGCCUCACCCGCGACGUGUGCACGCUGUUGCCGGACGCGGAGCCGCAACAGCCGCUGAGGUUGUCGCACGCGCCGAUCACCUUCAGCGCCGACGAUCACCCAGCACGAUAGUUGGGUUCAGUCCGGAUGCGCACCCCGUCAAGCAGAAGAUCCGGCGGCAAGCACAAGAGCAUAAGGAUUUCAUCAAGCAAGAGGUGGACAAGCUCAAGGUUACCGGGGCAAUCAGGGAAGUUCUGUACCCUACUUGGCUGGCUAACCCUGUAGUAGUGCCUAAAGCAGGGAAUAAGCUUCGCAUGUGUGUAGAUUUUACUAAUUUUAAUCGCGCAUGCCCCAAGGAUCCCUUCCCUGUACCCCGUAUCGAUCAAAUAGUCGAUUCUACCGCUGGUUGCGACUUGCUGAGUUUUCUGGACGCUUUUUCCGGCUAUCAUCAAAUCAAGAUGGCGGUCGAGGAUGAGGAAAAGACAGGGUUUAUCACCCCGGUUGGCUGUUAUUGUUAUACAUGCAUGCCUUUCGGGUUGAAGAACGCGGGCUCCAUGUUUCAGCGCGCCCUGCGUGAAUGUUUGGGACCUACAUGGAGCACAUUGUCAUCAAAUCGAAGCAUGGAGACUCGCUGAUUGAUGACCUGCGGAAGACGUUCGACAACCUCCGCAGGAUCAAGCUGAAGCUGAACCCCGAUAAGUGCACCUUUGGUGUUAACUCCGGGCAGCUUCUGGGCUUCUUGGUUUCGCACAGGGGUAUACAGGCCAACCCGACCAAGAUAGGCCCCCCCGCAAGGUGAAGGACGUCCAGCGCCUCAACGGCUGUGUCGCCGCGCUGGGACGUUUCAUCUCCAGGCUGGGCGAGCAUGCCCUACCCUUCUUCAAGGUGAUGAAGAAGAAGGGUCCAGUCGACUGGACUCCUGAGGCCGAGGCGGCGUUCCGGGAACUCAAGCAGUACCUGAGGUCGCCGCUCAUCCUCGUCGUCCCCAAGAUGGGCGAGCCGAUGCUACUCUACCUAGCGGCGACUGACCAGGUGGUCAGCUCGGUGCUGGUUGCCGAGAGGGAGGAGGACGUCCCGGGGACUGGGGCUGCGGGGCAGGGGGCUGAGCGGCCCCCGGCAACCGCCUCAGACCCGGGGACCGCCACCAAGCCAGCAACCUCGGCACCGCGGAAGCGGUUGGUGCAGCACCCGAUGUACUUCGUUAGUACGGUGCUACGCGACGCGCGGACAAGGUACCCUCAAGUACGGAAGCUCCUUCUGGGGAUUCUCCUUACGUCCCGCAAGUUGCGCCACUACUUCCAGGCGCACCGUAUCACGGUGGUGUCCGGGUUCUGCCUUGAGCGAGCCCUCACGAACCGUGAAGCCACCGGAAGGGUGGCCGAAUAGAGGAUGGAGUUGUCGGAGUUCGACCUCCACUUCGCCAACUCCAAAAGCAUCAAGAGCACGGCCCUGGCGGACUUCGUCGCAGAAUGGACGUCCACGGGCAUGGAAGAAGGUGAGUCGGAGACCAGCCUUCUCGGCAAGCUGGACGGGGACCACUGGGUCUUCUACUUCGACGGUGCGUUCAGUCUUCAAGGAGCAGGCGCUGGAGUCGUCAUUGAGUCACCGACAGGGGACCAGUUGAGGUUCGUCGUCCAACUCGACUUUGCUAACUCCACCAACAACACCGCGGCGUACGAGGGCCUGCUUGCCGGGUUGCGGGCGGCGGUCGCACUCGACAUCAAGCGCCUAGUUGUUCGCGGUGAUUCCCAGCUUGUAAUCAACCAGGUGAACAAAGACUACGACUGCCCUAAAAUGGCGCCGUACGUGGAGGAGGUCCGCAAGGUAGAACGAAAGUUCAAAGGUUUGCGCUUCGAGCACGUCAAGUGGAAGGAUAACUUCGCUGCUGACGAGCUGGCCAAGAUGGCAGCAGAGCGCCGAAAGCCUCCGGCGGGGGUGUUCUGUCAGAAGCAAGUGGCUCCUUCAGUCGCCCCCCAGCUGGCUGCCGGGGACGCCCCUCCGACAACCGAAAGAACCCCUGUGGCAGCAGGGGUCCAUGCCGUUGAUAUAGCGGCAUGCGUUGGCAGGGGAUUCCCCCCUGGGCGGAAGAAAUCGCCCGCUACUUGAAAGGGGAGGCUCUCCCGGAAGAUGACGUCGCCGCAGAGCGCGUAGCACGACAAGCCAAGAUGUACAUUGUCGUAGACGGGAAUCUCUACCGCAGGCGUGCGAACGGUGUCAAGCUCAUCUGCGUGCCGCAGGAUGAAGGGUGCGCACUUUUGGAGGACAUACACCGAGGCGCAUGUUCACACCAUGUGGCCUCCCGGGCUUUAGUCGGCAAGGUGUUUCAGCACGGCUUCUACUGGCCCACGGCCCUGGCCGGCGCAGAACGGUUGGUGAGGACAUGCGAAGCGUGCCAGUUCCAUUCAAAAAAGAGCAACCAGUCGGCACAGCCCCUACAUGUCAUCCCGUCCUCAUGGCCGUUCGCGGUCUGGGGGCUCGACAUCGUCGGCAAGCUACCGAGGGCGGUCGGCGGUUACGAAUAUUUGUUCGUGGCCAUCGACAAGUUCUCCAAGUGGGUGGAGGUGGAACCAGUGCGGAAGGUGACCGCCCAGGCGGCCAUCAAGUUCUUCAGAAGCAUUGUGUGCCGGUUUGGUGUGCCUAACAGCAUCAUCACCGACAACGGCACGCAAUUCACGAGCGCGGCGUUUCAAGCCUACUGCGAAGGCAUGGGCACCAAGCUGCGCUUCACGUCCGUUGCUCACCCGAGGAGUAACGGACAGGCGGAGCGAGCCAACGCAGAGGUGCUGCGGGGGCUCAAGAUGAGAACCUUUGACAAGCUCAAAGGCCACGGGAAACACUGGGUCAAAGAACUCCAACCCGUGCUGUGGUCCAUCCGGACCACACCUAGUCGGGCAACGGGCGAAACUCCAUUCGCCCUUGUCUACGGGGCAGAAGCGGUGCUGCCCCUCGAGCUCAAGCACGGAUCUCCCCGAGUACGCGCAUACGGCGACACCGGCCAACACGAGCAAAGGGUCGACGAUCUAAACUUCAUCGAAACUGCUGUGCGAGCCGCGCGCUACUAGCAGGGACUCCGUCAUUAUCACGACAGGCGAGUCCGUCCUCGGGGGCUCGAGAACGGAGACCUUGUCCUGCGCCGGAUACAAGGAAAGAAGGCCAGGAAUAAGUUGACUCCGAAAUGGGAGGGCCCCUUCCGGGUAGUGCAAGUAACCAGACCGGGGGCUGUCCGGCUGGAAACCGAAGACGGCUUGCCGUUGCCCAAUAGUUGGAAUAUUGAGCACUUGCGCAAGUUCUACCCGUGAAGCGGCAGAGCCUGACCCUCAGGUGAUGCCGCCGAUGCAUACCUCUCGAACUAGUGUAAACCACUAGUUAUUGUGAAUAAAGAUAAGUGUUUCACCCCUGAGCUUUGAAUUUGACUUGUUUAUUCGCAAGUUUCUCCCUCUUCUGUCUCUUGAUUUAAGUGCACAAAGGUGUAUUUCCAUACUUGCUUGUGAGCAGGGGGCUGUUGGAGCCUCGAAAACAUUAACCCGUUGCUGUUGGGGCAUGCAGUUGCCGGGCUUCCCGCAACGUGCAUCACUGGACGUGCAGCUGCCGGGCUCCCCGCGACAUGCACCGCACAGUCGCUGUGCCUGGGAAAAGAAAUGCUCACAUCCAAGUCUGGUAUCGACCCCUUUGUGCCCGGGGGCUGGGAGGCAGGAGGAGUUUCUUUGUGUUGCUUUGAGUAUUUUCGUAAAUUUCGAAAAUUUUGCAGCACCUCGGGCCUGGUAAGAAUCUAACUUGCAGGGAAGGGUGGAAUUUUGUGCACUGUGAUGCCCGUGGGCUGCCCACGGGUCGCACUAUGCCCCGGUGCCUUGUGGUGCGGGAUGACCGCAACGCAAGGGGCUCACCGCACUACGAGGCUUCUGACUCGGGAGGACACCGCCACGUGUGCCACAGUUGCUUGGUAAACAUGACGGCGGAGAUUGUACCGCGUUUUGAGGAAGGGGUGCCACGGGUGCUGCGCGGGCCCGUCGCACGCGGUGGCAAGCCCCCCUCCCGCGCCUAUAAAAGGCGCGCCCCAGCUACGGAACGGCUCAGAGCGAAGCCGGGUCCGGGGCUGUUAAGCCGGGUGGUGCCGCGGAGGCGCGAUGGUGGUGCAUCCCAUCAGCGCUUAGCGCCGACGGGUGCGCUGCCAUCGCGCCCCUGCCGCAUCACCCCAUCGAGCCCGCCCCGAGGGGCGUCGCAUGCCAUCAGCGUUCUGCGCCGACGGGUGCACUGCCGCCGUGCUCCUGCCACGCCCCCUCAAGCGGGUGGCUCCUCGGCGAGGGUCACCGCGGAGGCACUGUGGUGGUGCAUCCCAUCAGCGUCCGGCACUGACGGGGUGCAUUGCAGCAGUGCCCUUGCCGCGCCCCUCCAUAAGACACCUCCGCAAGGAGCAGGGGCCGCCGCGGAGACUCUAUGGUAGUGUAUGCCAUCCGUGCCUUGUGCCGACGGGUGCACUAUUAUAGAGACCCGGCCGCAUUCCCCUUGAGAGAGCCUUUUUCGGGCGCGGGUCGUUGCGAGAACGGUCUGAUGGCGCCGAUGCCGGCGCCCGCUGCCCGUUUCGGCCCAUCAACGCGUCCCUGCCACGGCCCUCGAGCAGUUUUGCUCCCGGGCAACAAUGGCUGUCACAUCCCUUGGGACGAGCUCCCCAGAAAAAAAACAGUUCUCCCCAGUUGUGGGGGCUGUCGCCGGGAGGCUAUAACUUCCUCGCCACCCGUGCCCGCCAUUCGGGGUGGGGCGCAGCUCGCGGCGAGGACGUUAUAGUCGUCUUGCGGCUGCUCCCGCGGCGGAGUCCUCCUAAGCCAGGGUUCGUCCCUGAAGGCGAGGGUUGCCGCGUGAGCGGGGUGGUAGCAUCGUCAGCGACGGUUGUCGCUGGCGGCGAUCCUGCCUCCGCGCCCCUGCCGCAUCCCUUAGAAAUCAUUUCCCUUGAACAGGUACCCAAGGUGGGUUCCUACCAAGGCAGUGCCCCAACUGCACUUUACCGCCGAGCGACACAAGGCAUUGGACUGAACUCGCUAAGAACUGAACGAAAUUGAGCUCUGUCCCGUUGGGUGUGGCCCCAGAUCCUGUGCGUAGCCGGGGUGUUAGAAGGACGCUUGCGGGAGGAGUGCGCUCCCCGUGUGGCUUCACGGGUCCGUCCCGGAAGGGCACGGCUUGGAGUAGUUACCCCGCAAGUGGAGCGGCUCCCCGCUACCGCUUGGCCCCAGGUCGGCACCGCGGGUCCGUCCCGGGUCCCUGGUCUGGUCAAGGGUGAGGCGCGCGAGUCCCCCGCAACACAAGGCGAAACACACAGAGGCUAAAAGGGCCACCCCGCUAGACAGCACCGGGAACAAUGAACAUGUCGAAAAACUUAAUUGAUUAAGAGUUGAACGAUUACAUAGGCUAAUCCAAAAUAUGAUUGUUCAAACGGUGCUAAGAGCCAUACUUGCAGGGAAAACAAACUAGAGAAGCUACAUUGGGAGCAACGAGCGCGGCUGAGGGCUGCGGCAACUAGUUGUCGCCGUCUUCGGCCGGGGGGUCGGCGGGGAGAUCAGCCUCCGGCUUCAUCUGCAUCCGCUCGACCACCUCGUCGACGAACUCACGCACUGCUUGGGUGUGCGUGGGCUCGUCCUCGCUGUCGGACCAAGCGUCCAGUAGGGACUCGAAGGGAAACUCCGGGUCCCGGAGAGGAAUCCGCGGGAGGAUUGUCCCGACAACCUCCCGGGCGCAGUUGGCGACCUCGUUGGCGCCGUACCGGGCGAUCCAGACGUCGAGCGCCCCAAGCUUCCCCACCAGAUCGGAGAAGAAGGGGAUCAGCGUCGUGACGUCUGUCCCGUCCACUUCCGCUGCCUGCAGCUCGAACCUGGGCAGCAGGUCGCGCAGCGACUGGGCGAUCUUCGCCAGCUUCUCUGUCUCGAUCUGCCGCUGCCCGAUCAAUGUACUGUGAUGGAGUCGGGCAUCAUGCGCGGCCUUCUUGGCCUUGCGGACGUUGCCCUCCAUCGCCGCGAGCUCUGCGGUUUUCGCCGCGAUCUCAUUGGCGGCCUUGGCAAGCUCCUCCCGGACGGCGGCCAGCUCGGUCUCGAGCCUGGCCGCUCUGUCCUUGGCUGAAUUGAGCUCAGUCUCGUGCCGGGCCGCCGCUCCCACCGCGUCCUCGGUGGCCUUGACCUGCACCUCCAGCGUGACGCGGAGGCCUUGGAUUUCGCCGCGGUAGUUGGCAAUCAGGACGCUUUUUUCGUCCAGCCGGGCUUGGGCCGCCGCAAUCACCUCGACGUGUUCCUUCCUGGUCGCCUCAAGGGUGGCCGACAUCGAUUCGAGCGUCCCUUGAAGCUCCACGCGCUGGGCCUCCAGUUGCCGCUGGAGCUUGGCCUCCGGGACCACCGGCUCCCGGGCGUCCUCCAGGGCUUGCCGGGCUAGCCGCGCCUCCUCUUCAGUGAGGCGCGUCUCCUCGCGCAGCCAGGACAGUUCACGCCGUUCUCUCUCCACGGCCUCCCGCACCUCGCCGAGCUGGUUCUUGGCAGCGGUGUGGUGCUCCCUCACCUCGUUGAAGGAGGUGACAAAGGCCAAUUGCUGGUCCCUGACGGCGUCCAGGAACCGGUGUCCCCGCUCGAAGAUGCUCGGAUCCCAAGUGAGGGGUUCCAAGCGACCCCGGCAAGGGUGACGAGGUCGGUACCGGGGAGAGCCGCCGAGGACGAUGAAGCCCCUGCUGCCGAAGUGGGGCUGGGCGCGGGUCGCCAACUUGCUCCCGGGGGUCUUGUUGUCCUCCCCUGGCAACUUCCCCUGCGCCUGCGCCCGGGGACAUCGAGGCUGGGGAAGUCUCCCUGCUUCCGGCGGGGGCUGCCCCCUGCUGGACAACAGGUGAGCCCGCGCCGGCCGCGCCCGCAGCUACGGGCGCGUCGCCAGGCGCCGUCACGGCGGUGGCGGUGUCCACUGCUGCCGCUGUGUCCGCCUCAACGAGGCUGGACGUGAGAGCCGGUUCCGGCUCCACCUCCGCCCCCACAGCCUCGACGACCAGAUCAAGGUCAACCACGGGUGCGCCCGUUCCUAGCGGGGGCGCACUUGUGUCUGCAACGACGAAAAGCAUGGGGAUCAGCGAAGGAUGGCGCUAGUGAAGACGUGCAAGGGUGACCAACAUGGUGAAGGGACGCGUAGAGAUAAACAAAACUUUUCCUACGCGAACUCCCAAGAUCUAGCCGAGGUAGAAGGCCACGAGGAUUACCACUAGACGCGCAGUUGCGGAUUAUCAAUGCGGCGCCUUGAUGCAGUGCAGUCCCUCGAUCCGAUCCAGCCGAUCCAAUCCCGCGAUCGUCGAAGUGCUGAACGUACAGCACCUCUGCCGGUAUCCACACGUGCGAGGAGGAGCUUCGGCGGCGGACUGCUAGGUCCGGUGCGACGGUUGAACUGAAUCGGGCUAGGGUUCUCAACGCAUGAGAGUGGAAAAAACCGUGCCCCUUAGGCAUCCCACGCCCCUGCUUAUAUACCGAGUGGAAGUGGGCUCCAAGCCUUGUGGCCCAUCCACCCUGCGAGUCUAACUCGCAUUGUCAGCCCAAUUCCAGUUCGGGUCCAACCCGACCAAAUACUUGCUCCCGCUCUUAAGUGUGUGACCCCGCAGGCUCAUGGCAACUUGGACACGAUUGGAGUCCGACUCACAAUCGAUCAAUCGGUAGCGGCUCCUAGCAGAACGUGCCGACUCCCAAGUACCAUCGAGUCAUGACGACGUACCUUCCAAUGUGACAUACGUCUUAGUCCCUUUUGCCUCACGAUAUACCUUGUCGAACUAUAGGCGAUUAAUCGUCAUCCCUUUAAUAGUUCAACUCUCUUCUCGAUCUGUGAUAUACGAUUCAUCCGACUAACUCUUAGUCGAUCGACCCGGUUAACAGUUAACCAAGUCGCGCAUGGCCAUGCUUCCCAAAUCAUAUCACUCGAGAGGGCCCAGAUAAUAUCUCUCCAGUCGGAGGGGCAAAAUCCCAUCUUGGUUAUCCACAUCACACAGCUUGAUUCUCAGUCAACCCGAACUCUGCCUUUAUAACUGCCCUGUUACGGAACAACGUUUGACAGAACCUAAGUUGGUGAUCCACAACUCGGAUUGUCCGAUAACCUCAGGUCUAAGGAUUACAUUGAUUGAGACAUGCAAAUGACGACCUACUCGUUGCAUCUCAAUAUGGGUCAGUCCGACUCGCUAAACUCUUUAACCGAAUCCGUGUAAGCUGGAAUGACAUCACCAUGCCCAUGACAAGUGGAACCGAGUCAUCAGCCAACUUUCACAUUAGUCUAGGUUAUGUGUCCAGCACAACCUCAAUGACUAAUGACAAUUUAGUAUGAACAACAUGAAUACAUAGUUCCACAAUCAAAUCACAUAUUCAAUGAUACAUAUCAGAUGUUCAAACAAGGACAACUUAAUAAUAUUUAUGAAUACAUUGGGAAUUACAUCAUACAUGAUUGCCUCUAGGGCAUAUUCCCAACACAUGGUUACCUUGUGCGGCCGCCGGGUUUGCCGGGGAAGCCCCCCGCCUCGCCUGUGCCGGCGGAAGCGCCCAAGAAGCUUGCCGCGGGCGAGCUGCCGCUCACUGCGAAAGAAAAAAGAAAGGUACACUCAUGAGUUUAGCUAACAGAAAUUGCAAUUCCAGAGGAGUGACGAAGACAUACCGGCUGCCGGCCCUGCCUCCGUUGGGGCUGGGUCGCCAAGGGGCACGCCCGUGCCGCUGCCGACCCCCGUGGCGGUAGGGUCGGCGGCACCGCUGGCAUCGGCGUGCACCUCCUUGCUUGGUGUGUCGGGCGGGGAAUCGCUCCUCGCCCUCUUGCUGCCACCCGUCGGCGAGGAGGACUUUGGGGGGUUACGCCGGAGCGUGAAGCCCCGGAAGACCCCCCGAGCAGGUGGCGCAGUAGGUGCCUGCGGAGUCGUCGUGACCCGGAGAGCUCCGGGUGUCGAUGGCGAGGCCGCCGCAGCGCCAGAAGCCGAACUUGCAGAGGCCCCCGCUACCGGGGCGAAGGCCGUGGCUGGGGCACCGGCAACCCCUGCAGGUGCUAGCGCUGCCGGGGUACAGGCGGGCGCCCCGGGACCGGUUGCCGCCACAGUGCUAGCGGUUGUUGCCGAGGCGGAGGCCGCCGCCGCCGAGACACCCACGGCCCCUAUUGCGGCGGAUACCAUCGAGGCGCCGACGGGCGCCCCUGCAGCAACCACCGUCGCGAGGUUGGUGGCCGCUGCCGUGGCGGACGUUGCCGUUGAGGAGAUGGCUGAGUGCCUUGACACCGGCGUGAAGAGAGGAAACCCCCGGCCGGAACUCCAUUGAUUGGAAGAUCUCGCCGGAGAUCCCCCUCACCCAUGUCCUGAGGGUCUCCAAGUCGACGCCGUCCGCCUGAAGGCGUGUCCUCUCCCCGGGACCCGUGUACAUCCACGCGGGGCGGGAGCGUAGCUGCAGCGGGGCUAUGCGCCGAUGGACGAAGGUGUGUGCCACGUCCACAUCGGUGAGCCCCGCUAGCCGCAGCGCCUUAAUCUUCUCCACAAUGGGGAGAAGGUCGGCGUCACGGUGGUAUCUGUCCUGCCAACCGUUCUAGGGUAGCGACAACUCCGUCGGCGACUGGAUGAACUCUUGGGGGUCCUCCACUCGGACCCAGCACCAGUCGCUCCGCUACUCUUUCUCAAUCUUCUUCCCCGACCGGACGAUGAACUCGGACUUCAUCUGGUCGCGGGCGCGGAAUACCACCCCUGACGACAUCGCCUUCGCGUUGUCAAUGCGGGGGUAGAAGUAGUGGCGGAAGAGCCCCACCGACGGCAUCACACCCACGAACAUCUCACAGAGGAACUAGAAGGUGGCGAGGAGGAACAGCGACGUGGGGUGGAGCUGCGCCACCCGCAGAUGGUAGGACUCCAUCAGUGCGUGGAGAAAUAGGGAGAAAGGCGGCACCAUGCCACAGAGGAGGAAGCGCGCGAACACCCGGAAGUCGUUGUCCUGGUGCUCGGCGCCCGCCGGGAAGAUUCGCGUCUCCCCGUGCUCAUUGAAGUUGGAGGCGACGGCGUGCCGGAGCUUCCCCGGCACCUCGCCGUUAUAGCCGGGGCGGAAGAAGGCGACUGUGGCGCGCAUCUCCCGCCUCUUUUGGUCCUUGGCGGCGGCCGCCUUGGUUGCCGCCUCGCUCUUGCUUGUCGCAGCCUUCUUCAGGACUUGGAUCUCUUUCCCCUUUCUGGUGGUGGGGGGCGCCAUGGGAAGCGAGGACGGAAGCUAGCAGGAGCGCAGGGAUGCGAGAUGCGGAAGAGGAUGGAGACGAAGGCAAUGGGGCAGAGUAUUGUUCCCCUUUUGGCAACAAUGAUGGCUUUAUAACGCCCGGCCGUUUGGUAACGGCCGGUUCCAUACCCUACGAGUGCGCGGGGAUAACUCCUAAUCAUUAGGAGUAAUGCGCGGAGGGGCCUUAACUUCCCUAUUAACGGGGGGAGUUAGGGCGGAAAUCACGCGUCCACUACUCCGUUUGUAACGGCUCCGUACACGGGGCGAUGAAGGGAUGCAGGCCCGCGGCAGAACGGGGCCCACGCGUCGGUUGAGGGCGUAGCCCGGCAACCGACCAGGGGGAAGACUCUUCCGGGAACAGGUGAUGCCGGCGCACGCCCGGGGGCUAAUGUCGCACCAGUGGCACCCGAGGUACCAACGCUGCGCGACACGUGGGCCCCGUCCCCGAGUUCCCGGGAAGGUUCCAUCCCGAGCGGCGGUUACGAGCAGCCCGGCAAGCUACCAGCCCGAAAGGGCUAGCGGGGCUUCGGGGAAUAUUCCCGCCUGGGCACCUCCCGAGAAGUCGCUUCCCGGGGGGAGGUUCUCGGGUGCGCUGGGCCCGGGCACUUCCGGGGAGCGACUUGCCGGGACAGGAGAUUCCCAGGCGCUUACCUCCGCCUCAAGCGCGGGGCCCAGUAGCCAGAUCAACAGCGCCACGAGGACGCGUGGCGGGCGUGGGAUGCGCGGUCCCACCAGGGCAAGGAGUAAGGCGCACGGCUCAGUAAAUGAGCCGACCGACGGGUUGUUACCCAUCGAUCAAAGGAGCAGUGGCUGUCCGAUCCUACUCUAGGGGUUUUAGACCCCUAGCGGCGGAGGUGGCAUCCAUGCACGCCACCAGCUCACCGGGGGGAGUUGUAUGCCUCCCCGCCCGACACUUGUAGCUCAUGCACCGUGGCGCCUGUGGCAUCCCCUUGAGUAUAAAAGAAGUACCCAUGCCAACGGUCAAAGGGUUCCGCGUGAGUUGAGUUCGGAGGAGGAGAAGGUGGUUCGGCAUAAGAUUAGUUGGCCCCAAUAGACAGUGGGGCUGAGUUCGACCGGCUCGUAGUUAGCUUCCUGCACUAACGAAGAGUAGUAAGGAGUACCUAUCCAGUGAGAGAAAGCCCGGGAACUUGCUCGGCAACUUGUAAACACCAGAUUCUAAGCUAAUACCAGCUCAGGCAAGCAGGACGUAGGGUUUUACACCUACGGGUGGCCCGAACCUACGUAAAAAACGUGCGUAUGUUCGUUCUUUGAUUAGCGUGCACUUUCAGUACUUCAUCUCGCCGGCCCCGCAGGGCCUCAUCGGCCGUGCCGACGAUCGCCGGGGCUCUACCCCGAUGCCCCUACCGAACCUAAAAGGGGGCCGUGGCCACACGCCCCCGGUGUCGGAGCACCGUGCGACGACACUGAAGCAUCAGUUUCAAGAACAAAAGGAUCAUGAAAAUUGGGCAAAGCUAGUACUGGGGCAGUAAUCAAAGCUUGCUUCAAGGUGUUGAAUGCAGAGUGAUGAAUUUCUGACCACUGAAACUGUCCCUUUUUUAAUAAAUCAUGUAAGGGUCUGCAGAUAAUGCCAUAGUGUUUAAUAAACCGUCUAUAGUAACCAGCUAGACCCAAAAAGCUUCGAAGUUGAGUUACUGAGGAUGGUGUCGUCGAAUCAGCAAUGGCACUGAUCUUCACAGGAUCUGUGGACACACCUUGUCCAGAAAUGAUAUGGCCCAAAUAUUCAACUUGAGAAACCCCAAAGACACAUUUACUCAGUUUAGCAGCCAGGUUGUUGUCCUGCAGUAAUUGUAAGACCAUGCCCAGAUGUGUAACAUGAGUCUCCAUAUCAGGACUGUACACCAAUAUGUCAUCAAAAAAGACCAAGAUGAAUUUCCUCAAAUAUGGAGCAAAGACUGAAUUCAUCAGAGCUUGAAAUGUUCCAGGAGCAUUAGAUAGACCAAAGGGCAUAACCAAAUAUUCAUAGUGGCCGAAGUAGGUUCUAAAAGAAGUUUUUGGAAUAUCAGGAUCAUGCAUCCUAAUUUGAUGAUAACUAGAUCGUAAAUCUAGUUUGGAGAAAGCCUGUGCGCCGUGCAACUCAUCUAGUAAGUCUUCAAUUAUAGGAAUUGGAAACUUGUUCUUGAUUGUUUGAGCAUUUAGUUUUCUGUAAUCAACACACAAUCUCCAACUACUAUCCUUCUUUUUCACCAAAAUGGCAGGAGAAGCAUAAGGACUCUAGCUAGGCCUGAUGGUGUUAUUUGCUAAUAAUUGCUUAACCUGGGACUCCAUUUCAUCCUUUUGCUUGUGAGGUACCCUGUAUGGCCUGAUAUGAGGUGGAGUUGCAUCAGGUUUCAGUGGAAUGGUAUGGUCAAUAGCUCUAUGAGGAGGUAAGCCCUUAGGUUCAGCAAAUACUGCAGGAAAUUGCUGUAGCAGAAUGUCAAUAGCAGGUGGGAUAUCGGUAAGUUCAGUAGCAGUAAGCUGAAGGGACUUGAGCUGCAAUACAUAGCCAGGAUGUGAACUUUUCAGUAACUUGUCCAUUUCUUCUGCUUGUACUUCCUUAACUGAUACAGUUGGAGGAAUAGUGUGAAAAGUAAGAGGAUUAACUCCAUGUUCAGUGAUUUGCAGAGUGUGUUUGUUCAAAUCCACUGAAAAGGGGCUAUGCUUGGCCAACCAAUCACAUCCAAUGACCACAUCUUGUCCAGGAAGGUUUAAGAUUCUAAAGUUAUUUGUGAACUCAUGAUUCUCCACAGUGAAAGGACAGUUAAGGAUGACAGAAUCAGAGCAUAACAAAUCUCCUCCAGCAACCCUGACAGUGAUAGGAGGGGCUGACAGCAUAGCACAAUUAGUGGUACUAGAAAACCUGGAAUGCAUGAAUGUAUUAGUGCUACCAGAAUCCACCAAAGCAACAGCUAAUUUUCCACCAAUAGUGAUGUAGAUCUUGGGAGUACUGGCAGAAGGCAUGCCACUGACUGCUUGACAAGAGAUCUGCAUGAUGUGUUGCUGAACAUCCUCAGUUUUUUGUUCCUGUUCCAUUUCUUCAGUGGGAUUUUCAUCGGUAUCAUCUUGUUCCUCAGCUUCACCUUGCAACAUAUUAAUGAGAGGAACCUUUUGACACUUAUGGCCUGGUUGCCAUUUAGCUCCACAUCGCCAACAUAUUCCAGGUGGCCUUGCUCUAUUAAUAUGUGCAGAAGGUUCAGUAUCUUGCUGCUUAGCUGGUAGAGCAGGAGGGAUAUCUUGUAUCUUGCCUUGCUGAUACUGAUAUUGUUUCUGAUAGGGAGUAUUGUUGGGAGAGGUAGAUUUCUUGGGUGGAUAGCAUUGUUCAUAGUCACAGGCCAUCCAACAAGCUUCUGUCAAGGUAGGGGGUCUUAGGGGUCUUAACUGAUGUUUAAUUCCAUCCCUCAAUCUAUUGACAUAGCACUUAACAAACCAUUCUUCAGAUAAGGUUGGAUUACUUUCAGAAACAGUAGCCAUUAAGUCCUCAAAUAUGUCAGUAUAUUCAGCAACUGAUUGAGAAUGUUGUUUCAGUGUAUUGAAUGUUUCCACUAACUGAAAGGCACUAUAGCUAGCAAAUAUGUGAAUUAUCAUUUCACAAAAUCUCUCCUAAGUCGGCAUACAUUUGAGUAAGCCAGACCUCCUAAGCCACUUGUCAGCUCGACCAGUGAUGUACAACUGAGCCAUCUGCAGUUUGAAUUCAUCAGGAGUAGCUGACAUUUGAAAGCAUUUUUCACAUUGUCUAAUCCACUCUUCAGGAUUGUCACCAUCAAAACGAGGGAAAUCCAAUCUGGGUCCUUUUGUAAUGGAUUUUAGGAAUUGAUUUCUCAUGUCCUGUUCAUAAUAUCUAGCAUAAUUCUGCCAUGGAUUUCUCUGAAAUGAGUUUUGAUGAUACUGUGGAGUGAAACCUGUUGUAUGAUCAAGAUGUUGCCUAUGGGAUGCAGUAUGAGGAUUAGUAGUAUGAAAAUCAGGAGGAGGGCCUCUAGACACUUGUUGUUGCUGGAAUAACUGCUCAAAUCGACGAGUAAAUUCUUUUUCCAUAUGCAACUGGUUUUUAAGGUCCUCAAGUUCCAUAGCUUUGGUACAUUCUGCACUGCUAGGAAUCUUAAUAGGAGAGAGCGAAGUAGGUAUACCAUCCUUACCAGGCAUUGUUUGUCCAAAUGGAACAGGGGGAAGGUGAGAAAUUGGGACGCAGAUUCCUGAAAGUUUCAGUAAGCGCUGACAUUUGGUCACCGACACCAGCAAUCACCUAAUUCAUUUUCUCCAUGGAACUCACUAAGACAUCCUGCUGAGAGCUCACACGGGUAACAUCCUUGCGUAAAUCCACCAAUUCAUUGUGGUGAGAAAGCACUUCUUGCUUGAGUUGGAGAAAAUCUGCGGUGAGGUCGUCGUCGUCCACAAAUGGUUUGCUUUUCCCCAUCGGAACUGAUCAACGAGACAGUGAAGGAAUUUUACACUGGUAUGCACCAGCAACCCGUCACUGGUCGUAGAUCCUGCCGCCGCCGCGCCGAAUUCAGAACAGGGAUACCAGCGGAACCGAAAUUCCACCUGCCUGCUCCUAAUCCGACGAAUCGCCGCCUUGAUGGUCACCCGUCGCCGGGAAGGGAGUCGAUGGUGAAGGAUUUUACGAGAGAUCCCAACUUCACCAUCGCUCCAAUCCAAUCGCCACCACUGCCAAAGACCGAUUGGUCUCUGAUACCACUUUGUCAGACCCCAGAUCACAUAAUAGAACUAAAGUAACGAAUCAACACAGGGGAAUUGAGCAGGGGCGCCUCUUACGGACGAACCCUAGAGCGAAGCUCUUUACUGUAGUGAGUAUAAUGUAUAUUGUUUUAAGCAAAGGUUGGAGAAUAAGAGGAUAACUUUACAGGGCACUAGACCGGCCAACUAUAUAGGCAAACUCUUACUGCAGUAAAAGCAAGAGAGAACGAAGUGAACGAUUGCCGGAACUGGAAACAGUAAAGGUAACUUUGUAGGAGAUAUCGCUUCGCACCGUAGCUUCUGAAUAAUAAGGCAGUGUUGAAUUCUUCAGUAGUACAGGACCUGACAACCUCCUCCCCUCCUCUUAUACGAUAGCUACUGCUGCUCUUCCUCCAAACUCUCUCUGUACAGCAGCAUCUUUCCCCCUCAUCGUCUCCCCUUGCUUCUUUUUCUUCCAUGAGUUCGUUGGGGCUGUUAAGCACUCCGUAUUGCAGUUGGUUGGCCAUCCGAACUAGCUACUUCGUUGAGCUACUUCAUUAUGUUUCAUGUCCAUGCUAAUUUCAUGCCAACAAGUGUUGUGCUAAUUUUAAUGUUUUUACCUUCUCAAUCAUGUGUGGUUAAAUAGACUACUCUGGAUUCUCUCGUAACUCAGUGCACGCCCGACCCCGUCCCAAUUCCCAAACCCUAGACGUCAGGGUUCCAGCCAAACUGAUGAACUGAACUGAAAACCCCAAAAUAGAAUACAUCGCCGAACAUUGUGCAAGUUGUUUGUACACCAUAUAGUAGCAAUAGAUAUAGUGGUCGUUUAUGUGCUCCCUGUUGCAUCGGUAGUACAAAUCUCUCCUCAUGGUGGUUUAAGCUGGCUUCAUAAGGGAGAUAGCAUGUGUAAUCUUUUCCUGCAAUUGGUCAUCGUCUUGUUUAUCAUUUGUUUCGGGUUCAAACAUGGCACGCCGAGGAUUAAUGGAGCAGGACUUAAGAAAGCUUGAUGUUACAAAGCUCCACCCGUUGUCACCUGAGGUUAUCUCAUGCCAAGCGACAAUCAACAUUGGUACAAAUACGAUCUUUUUGGCAAUGUUUCCAUUUUCAGUAUGGAGAAUUUAAUUAUCUUGUGUACAAGCUAUUUUUCAUGAUUUCUAAGUUACUGGAUUGCUCCUCAUUAGCUAGUAGCUUUGCGUAUUUAGUAUCAUGCACUUCACUGUGGAUUCCUAUUAACUAUCAUACAUUUGUUGGUGGGCGACGUAUCAGGUGAAAACCUUCCUUCAGUGAAAACUUGGAAACUUCCAAUCCUAUCUAUUAGAUCCCAAAUAAAUGGAUGAGACGAAAGGUUGAAGUUCAUGUAUUUUAUGAAACCCCCCUUAAACUUCCCCACCUCGGAGUUUUUUCAUAAAAUAUGUUUAAGUGAUUAGAGGUCCCACCAUUCAUUUCAUCUGUUUAUUUAAGAUCUAAUGUUUAUGGUUGAAAGUUUUCAUAUUUUUACUGAAUGGAGGUUUUCAACCAACACGUUCAAUGCUUAUGUUACAUGCAUUAUUCAUAGUUUAAGGCUAUCAAUGAGUUCUACUUCUACUAGAUAUUUGUUUACACUAAAAAUUGUAUCACGGAAUAUUUGAUUGAUCUAUUAGAUAUUUGUUUUAUUGUUUGAACUUUACUAUGAUAUUAUGAAAUGUCAUACGUUUACAAUAUGCAUCUCCUUGAGCAGGGCCACGACCUUCUCAUGGCUACAAUGCUUAAUGGAGCAGCUAUCAUGGAUGGAGCCUUGCUUUUGAUAGCAGCAAAUGAAAGCUGCCCACAACCCCGGACAUCCGAGCAUCUUGCAGCUGUUGAAAUUAUGCGUCUCCAGCAUCUCAUAAUUCUGCAGAAUAAGAUCGAUCUUAUCCAGGAAAGUGCAGCGAUGAACCAACAUGAAGCAAUCCAAAAGUUCAUCCAGGCCACUUCUGCUCGUCAUCACUCUUUUUAAGAUACAUGUCUUUUGUUUCAUGGUUUGAUCUUUUUUACCCCCAUUUGUGCAGGGCACGAUAGCUGAAGGUGCUCCCGUGGUGCCAAUAUCUGCCCAACUUAAGUACAACAUUGAUGUGAUCUGUGAAUAUAUUGUAAAGAAAAUCCCCAUUCCAGAAAGGAACUUCACUUCACCUCCCAACAUGAUUGUUAUUCGCUCCUUCGAUGUUAACAAGCCUGGUUCAGAGGUGGUUCAGAGGUCGAUGACAUUAGGGGUGGUAGUCAUGGGGCAUAAUUAGAUUAUAAGUGUUUCUUUUUCUUCUGAUAAAUUUAAACUGAAUGGCAAUUCUUAUUUACAGGGAGUCCUGAGGGUGAACCAGAAUAUUGAAGUUCGCCCUGGCAUUGUCAUGAAGGAUGAGAGUGGCAACAUCAAAUGCACCCAAUCUACUCGAGGAUUGUCUCGCUAUAUGCCGAGCAAAAUGAACUCUAAUUCGCUGUGCCAGGGGGGCUUAUUGGUGUUGGAACAACCAUGGAUCCAACUUUGACUCGUGCUGAUAGGCUGGUUGGCCAGGUUUUAGGAGAAAUUGGGUCACUUCCUGAUGUAUUCGUAGAGCUUGAGGUUUGUCAAUUCUUUGUUGCUUCAAGAUUUUUAGUCAAGCAAGGGUAGCUGUUAAUGACAUCCUUGGACUACUGUGCAGAUAAAUUUCUUCCUCCUUCGAAGGCUGCUGGGUGUGAGAACAAAGGGUACAGAGAAAGCAGGGAAGGUCUCCAAGCUCACCAAGGGUGAGAUCCUGAUGCUUAACAUAGGAUCUAUGUCAACAGGCGCCCGUGCGGUUGCUGUUAAGAAUGAUCUUGCCAAGCUUCAGCUCACUUCGCCUGUCUGCACAAGCAAGGGCGAGAAGGUCGCCCUGAGCCGCCGUGUCGAGAAGCAUUGGCGCCUCAUCGGGUGGGGCCAGAUCCAAGCUGGCGUGACGCUUGAAGUUCCACCCAGUCCGCUCUGAACUCUGAAGCAUUCGGCUCUUGACAGUGUUAGAAUUAGUUUAAUCUAACAAUCAGUGGGUUAAUUAACCACUAAUGGUGGCGAGGGACUCCUCUAGUUGCCCGUACGGACGCCCUUGUCUGUACAGGCCCAUUUUUCCUAAUGUCGGUUCGUUCGAGGCGCUUGUUCCACUUGUGUAUAUUACCCCAAUUUAUCAAUAAAAAGUUACUGGUCCUAAUCACUUUUGCUGGUUACACGUGGGACGGUUCAUGCAUCUGUACAAUUUCAUGCCAACUCAAGCUCAGGUAGGAGAGGAGCUUGAGGAUGUGCUGCACAUAAAAAGCCUCGAUAUAUGUAAAGAAAGUGCACUAUUAACAAAUCAAAGCCCAAUAAACAACAAAUCACACUGGAUAAGAGGCUCAACUGAAUUGCUUCGGAAAGUUACAAAUCUAACGCUCCAUGAGUCUGAUCCAACCGUCGCACACUAAUCCGAUUAGUCCGAGAAAAAUCAUACUCCCUCCGGUCAUAAUAACCAUUGGUUAUUUAGUACAAAGUUAUUACGGGGAUUUAGCAUUCGGCAAGAGUAUCUAUAGCAAUAUCUAUAUCUAUACCAUUAUAUUAAAUUCGAAACGGUGGUGAUGUUACGGACAUCGCUGCGGUACGUCACUUUGCCAAAAUUACGAAUAUGCCACCACUGUCCAGAGGGUGAGCGCGGUACGUCACAUUUGUUCUUCCGUAGCAACGCACGGGGCUUUUUGCCAGUAUUAAAUUAAAUUUGGCGGUGACGGUACGACCGCAGCCAUACGUCCUCAACUCUUUCCGCCCGAACCCUCUCGCACGGGAGAGUCCUCGCACGCGGGACGCGGCUCGACUGGCCUGAUCCUAUCCCCUCUCCUUUCUCCUCGAUCGAUCCAUCCUCCUCGAUCUCUUCUUCCUCGCACCUGGAUCCGCAUCCUCCACGAAUUCUAUCCCUCCCGUAUAGUCAGUCCCGCGCGGGGAAAUAAGUAACUCACUGUAAAAACCAACCUGCCGAGCGCCGAGCCGUACAAUGGACCCCUCACGCUGCCGCCGCGCGCGCUCUCCACACAAAGCGAGGCUAUCUCCGCCGCUGGCAGGCCUGCUCGCGUUUCCUUUCUCCUCCAACCUCCGGCUGCUCUCCGGUAGCUCCGCCCGCCCGCCCGGCCUCCAUCCCGCAGCCCUGUGGCCGAACUCAUCCCAAAACGAGGCCACCACCCUCCGCCAGGAGCGCCUUGGCCACGGGCCGAUGCUGGUGGAUGCCUCCGCUCUGGAGUCUGGAACCAGCGCCGCGCGCGGGAUGGCUUGGCCCGUUGGCUGCUGCCGCGCUAGGAGGAAGCGGGCCGUUGGCCGAUGUCUUGAGCGACAAGCGUGCGUCGAGACGUCGCAGCCAUUGCCUCGUCCAGACCCCUGCAGCUGGAGGUGAGAUGUGUUGGUAACUAUCGUAUGCUCCCAGUACGUUCAACAAUGUAUUGUUUCUCUUGAGCAUGGAAAACUAUCGUAUGCUCCCAAGCGACCGGUUGAUGGUAUGUGCUCAAUUGAUGUUCCAAUUUCUAAAGUAUUUAGGUGUUUGGGCACUUGCAAAUUGCAAAAUCAUCUCAUGUUCUGCAACUUGCAGUUCCUUUAUGUAUUUAGGUAUUACUUAGAUGAAGUCCGGAGAACUUGGAAUUAGCGAGCUCGUGGACACGCCAAGGGCAGGAGGUAUACAUCGCUUGAGCAGAAGCCUGUAUGCAGCGCAUCUCAGUUUUGCCCAAUCUGUAGUAGCACAAUUCAAUCUAUUUAUUCUCUCUUUCUGAUCUCUUUUCUCUGUAUAUGAUCUGCCAUUUUUCUUCCCACCCCUUUGACAUAGAUGAAAAGAAAGAGUGCUCUGAUUAAUACAACUUUAUCUUUGUUGCUACAAGAUUUCAAUAAGUUGCUUUCAACAUGGCCUAUUUUUAUUUCUGGUAGAAAUUGAUAUCGAAUCUGCUGGUGCAUGUUUCUAUUUUUCUCGUGAUUUUCAUUUUCAGGGACUUCAAUCAACUUUUGCCAUGGUAUUGAUACAGCUGCGGCGUUACUCUAUGUGUGUUGUAUUUAUUCAUGUGUCCUUUGUAAUUAGUACCUAAACUAUUCAGUUGCAGGCAAAUUAGAGACACAUAGUUAACAUUGUCUUUGUUGUCUAUCAACGAGCAGACUUUUUUUUUGCUUGUGUUUCUACCUUAGUGAUGGUGAAAGAAAAUCUCUCUUAGUCUAUCAAGUACUUACAUGUAUAUCAAUGUUCUGUAGCGACAAGCGUAGAACGUCAGUAAUAAUUUCUAUCAAUGUUCUGUAGCGACAAGCGUAGAACGUCAGUAAUAAUUUCUAUCAAUGCCUUGGUUAGAAGCCAGGAUUGUAAUAGAAUUCGUCUUAUCAAUUUAUCUAAGUAGCCUUUUUUUUUUCCGUAGCAAUGCAUGGGUGUCUUACUAGUUAGUAGUACAUGAGACUUGGUACGACUGAGCUGCAGCAUAUAAAUACACGGUCAAACAAAUUCCAAAUUUCCUGGUAAACCGCAGCAACUCAAUGAUUCCCCCAACGGCACUCGGCAGCCACCGUCGCAGGCUCCCGGCGCCUCCUCCCGAAGUUCUACCAAGCUUUUAAAAAUCUCGACGCCUUUGCCGCCGCCUCUUAAAACCAAACCUCCACGCUCCACACUUCUCAGCCAUCGACACGAUACUACUGUUAGUAGCAGCAGGCAAGAGCCAAGAGGCAUCAGGCAAGGUCGCAAGGAUGCCACAGCUCGCUGGUAGCGGCCAGUCAAGGUCCAAGGUCGUCGCGUUCGCGGGCUCCGACGCCGACGCCCAAUGCAAUAUUAACACCGCCAGCGCCCACGCGGACUACGCGGACGGCUGGGGAGAGUUGCGCCGGAUUAGCUGGGCCUGGUCCGGGCUGGCCGGCGCCGUGCUGGAGCGGGCCGGGUCUACCAAGGGAAGCUCCAACCCCAAGACCACGGCGGCGGCGAAAGAGGAGACGCGCAGCAAGGGCGCGCCGAGGCCGAGGAGGCUGCCGGCCAUGGUCAUCGGCGUUCUGCCCGCGGGCAAGUUGGUCGUGGAGCAGCGGCGCUCCCCAGCUCCAGGCCGCGGCUGGCGCCGGCCCGCGGGAGGGGCCAGGGUCUUCGCGAGCGAGGCCGUGGAGACGACGGAGCCCGUGUCCCCGAAGGUGUCGUGCUUUGGGGCUGUACGGUCCGAGGCCGAGAGCCGUCCGACGGCGCCUGCGCCGGCACCGCGUGGGGAAGACGCGCGGAGCGGGUGCUGGGCGAGUGUCGCUUCCGCGCUCCGUGCCUUGUGCCGCACCGACGACAAUGGUCCCGAAGGUGAAAUUUGGGCGAGUGAGUUAUCGACGGCCACGGCGUUGGAGUACUUAGAGUCACCGACGAAAGUGGCCGUUCUGUCGCCGCCGCGCACGGUUUUGGGGCUGGGAGAAGUGAAGCGCCUUGCUUCGCGGCGGUGGCCGGACGGCAUGGCAGGAGAUGGGCGGUGCCCGCCGGUUUGAAUCGCUUGACGUUGCGUGCUUCGGUCGUCGGGAGGCACGAGAACAGUUGUACAUCCACGGACCACGGUUGCCCAGGCACCGGUAGUCCGCUAGCCAAGCCAACCCGUGCUAAAAAAAAACUCCAUCUUUUGAUUUUCUCUCGUGUCUUGUGUGUCCGUCUCUUUCUUUUGUACAGUUUGCUGUUUCAUGGCUACCUUGGGUUAUGGAUCUUUGACUUUGGUAAAUCAUCACUUCUUCACUCGGUCAGUGGAGUCAGAGAAGACCAAUUGGCAAUGCAUGAUUAAGUGAAUUAAAAAACAAUCUAAGCUGAUGAUCUAAUCUCAAUCUCGUGAUCUCAUCUAGCAGCAUCUUUUAUUCUUGGUGAGAACAUAUCGUCUAGUAGUAUCUCAACGGAAGAAAAACUGCGAAAAGUUUUUUAAAGAAUUACCGUUUUGCUAUAGCAAAGGGGCCUGUUUUUUUUUUGAAAAACAGGCGAUUUUGUGGCCGUCCGAUUCAUGCUUGAAGAUUGCAGAUUGGUGCCUUUUCCUUUUGCCUUUUCUUUUUGUUGCUCUGACCGGUUUUUUCUUUGCGUCUGAAGUCUGAACGCACUCUUCUUCCUUCUGCCGACUGCCUUCGGAGCGAGAGGAUGGGGGCCACGGGGAAGGGGAGGAGUCGAUUUUGCUCGCCGGAGGCUGGCUUUUCCGUCCGGUGAGCUUCCCCUUCAAUUUUUGGUGUCCCCCGUCCUCCUCCCUCCCUCCUCUAUGCGGCCCUCGCGGGGUCAUUGUCGGCGUGGCCCUCAUGGGGUCAACGGCGACUGCACGGUGAGCGGGGCACGCUAGCGUGGCCCUCGAAGCGCCCACCGGGAGACCUUCCUCCGUCGCCUCUGAACUCCUCCCGUCCUGCAAGGUCGCCAUCAAGCCGCAUUUGCUCCGACCCGCGGGCUCUCGCGCCGUUGCGCGGAGCUUCGUCAGACGAGGAGGAGAGGACCAAGUGCCUGCAGUCGAGGGUGCGGGCGGUGGAGAUGCCGUGCGGGCCGAUGCUGGUCUCAUACAUCACCGUGGCCGCGAUGUGUCGAGGUGAAGGCUCGUUUGCUCGCGCUUGUGUUUGGUCGCUAAUUUUUUUGCUUGUGGUCUGUCGUUGGCUCCACUGUGACGAGGCGAAGAUGGCAGAGGCUAGCGCCUGUUCGAGGGGGUUUCGAUAUGCGCUCGUCGGCGGUGACGUCUAUUAGGUGGUCAUCCGGUGAUUUUGGUGGUGGUUGAUUUCUCCCCUUUUCUUCGGGUGGAUGUGGAGAUGCGAAGGUAGUAGAGGGGCAGGUUCGAUUUCGUGCUCGUCCUCGGUGAUGUCUGCUCGCGGCCGUCAGGUUAGCCUCUGUACAUGUGAUGCAGGGUUACCCUUUCUGAAUUUGGAAGUCCGGCUAGCUGUAGUAGCGAUUCAGACUAAUGGGCAGUUCAUUUCGUGCAUUAUGGCUUUAUGUUGUGUUUUGUGAUCUUUGUUCCUGGAUAUGCUUUUGGCUAUGCCCACUGAAACUAAUAUGGCAACAUUUUCAUCCAAAUUAUUUCCAUUUUCUGGUUCUAUAGGUUGGGCUAGUGCUAGUGUCAUUUUGUUGUCUAUAUUCAUGUUUGUGUGGGUCGCAACCUCCAUCAUGGUGGCCACCUCCUUGCCCAACAAGGUGUGUGCAGCUCAUGUUAGAUUAUUUGCUUGCGGUCCUGCAGGGAAGUAUGCUCUUGGCCAAUAAUAUGAGAUGGGUUAUCAACUUAGCCAUAAAGCUGUAGUAAAAAUUAACAUUACGAAUAUGUAAAUAUAACUUGGCAAUUAUUGGUCAAUCAGAAACUCAAGUCUCUUUAGAUGUUGGUCUCACUCCCACAGCCACUUGGCACAUAUUGUCAUAUAUGCUUCUUAGUAUUUUGCUUGCUCUAUAUGCAAGCUAAUUUGGUUGCAGCUACUAUAUGCAGGAUGGAGAACUUGCACUACAUCAAGCGUCAAGCUGCUGUUUGUAGCUAUUUCUUUUGGUAUAGGAAUGUUUCUCUUCACUAAGAUUCUUGGAACUUGGGUGUUGACUGGUAAGUUUUCGAAAUCAAGUGUCUUGCUGACAUUUGUAGCUCUUUCUUUUGGUAUAGUAAUGUUUCUGUUCACUAAGAUUUUUGGGACUCAAGUGUUGACUGGCAAGUCUUUGAAAUGGACUUGAAACUGUCAUUUUUCUGAACACAUUGGCCAUUUUGUAUUUUCUACUGAAGUGGAGGACUUCUCUUAUCAUUAGAUUCUGUCUUUCAUGUUAUUUCCAGUUGAAAACCCACUUUGUCCUUCUCCUGGACUCAACAAAGCUUGCUAAGGAUGCUUAGAUUUAAAGUUAUGAAAUGCUUUUAUCUCGAGUUAUGAAAUGCUUUUAUCUCAACUAUAUUCUUAUUCUAACUUCAUCACCAGAUAAGGAUGUGUACUUGCAUUUAGACUAAGCCCAGUAUAUGUUCUUGCAUUUUGGUCAAUUAAAUGGUACAUUUUGUACCAAUAUAAAUUACGCGCAGCCUGCAAUGUAUGAAAUGCACAAUGAACUUACAGGAUUUCAUUUGUAAAUUUCAGGAACUCAAAUAAAAAGCAAAGAUUGUUUUGGAAGGAGGUAUAAAUGUAGCUUGUUAAAUAACUUAGUUAAUUCAUUGUAUCUAUAUUUGUAAUUCUAUUUUCUUUUCUGCAGCAACACAAGUUUCUGAUCUUGUCAGUCAUUCAAGACCAAUUCAGAAGAAUAUUUAAAAAACAAAAUACUUAUUCUGAAGAAGGUAUGUCUCGUCGCUACCCAUAUAUGAUAUCUAUAUCUGAUCGCUGAUAUUUCUUCUAUAUGGGCUGCAGCAUGUAAAGUACCCCGUAAACUAGUCAAUUUACAUUAGGAUCCUUUACAUUAACCCUUACAUUAACUCCUUGCUAUUUGUACUCAAUUAACUUAUGAAAUUCAGAGCGUUGUCGUCAAGAUGCAAUAAUUUCCAUCCAUUGUUUUGUAUAUGUAGCAUUUGUUUACAACAAAUGAUACCGAUUUAUGAUAAAGUAAAAAUAUUUUUACUUCAUAUUUUGCAUGUAUGGAGUUGAGAAAUAGCUUUUCAAUGGAGAAAACUUUGUGCAAGCUCGGCAGUACCAAAGUGCAGGUACAUAAGUACAUAAGGUAGGUAUUUUUGUCCAAAGUCCAAGUACAUAAGUACAUCGCAAUUGAACGUGCUGCCUGAACCUGUUUGGCUUUUGAGUUUCUCCCUGGUUUUGUGUAUGACAAAGUUCUAAUUGUCGCCAAACCUGACUUGUAUGUGGUCUAAAAAUAAAUCAAGCAAGGAUAUUUGGUUCAUUAGAUCAAAAGGUUCUGGGUUUCUGGCUAAGCAUGCAGGCUUUAGGUGUAGCCUUCAGUUUAUCUGAAAUUUUUGUCGUCGUCUCAGUUCUUUCAUAGUUCGUUCUUUUCAUUUAAAGGAAUAGGAGAUACUGGAGUUGAAUACUCCAGUUGCAAUCAUAUUUCAGAACUUUGGGCAUUUGUGUCUCUGAUAGCCGGAUAGCUGUGUCAGUCGUUCAAAGUCAUAUUCGAGUUCAAGUGGUGCUUAAGUAGUUGCAUUAUGUGACGUCAUUUGGAAUUCUAUAUUUAAACGUUUGCAAUUGCAAAAUCAGGUUGCAUAUUGGGUCAUUAUCUGUGUGCAAUUGCAUUCUUAACUUUUUUGAUUUGCACAUGUAGGAUUUGACACCAAGUUAUGACUUAUUACAAUACAAUUUUUGUAGUGCAAUUUUAGAGUUCAAAGUCUGCAAUUGCAUAAGCUGAUUGCAAAUUGGGUCACUAUCUGUGUGCAAUUGCAUUGUUAUAAAUUUUGACUUGCACCUGUAGGAUGAUGUGUGUGUGCCUUAUUCUGUUCCUGCACUCUCUUGGGCCCCAUUUUGAUUGGUUUUUUUAUUUGUUUUUAUUUGAUUUUCUUAGUGCAUUUCUGCUCUUUUUCAGCCUAACAUGAUUUUGCUUUCCUGUUGGGGGUUAUAUGCCAAUUUGAAAAUUUUGUUCUCUUAUUUGAUGCACUGCGAAACAGUAGCGCAAUUUUUAUUAUGUAUAAGCGCAAUUGCACUCUUGUUUUCCAUUAAUCGAUGUUUCUGCCUAUCUUGAAAUUGUUGUUCUCUCAUUGAUGAAGUGUCAAAUAGUAGUGCAACUUACAUUGUGUCUAAGUGCAAUUGCACUGUUUACUUUUAUUAAUUGCAAUUUUUCUGUCGCAACUAGGGGGUUAUGUGCCCAAACUUGAACAUUUUGUUCUCUUACUUUAUGCUAUGCCAAACAAAAGUGCAAGUUAUAUUCUGGCUAAGCGCAAUUGCAAUCUUGAUUUCCAUUAACCACAGUUGCAAUUUCUCUGUACCAACUAUGUUUUUAUCUCCACUGAAUUGAACCUUUUUGUUUCGUUUCGUAUGUUAUCUCUCUGAAUUUUCGCCCAGGUCUUAGCACUGUGAAUGCAGUUAGCAUCCAAGCUUUUCUUUUUGUAAUGCACCGUUGAAUGAUGUGUUAUGGCAGGUAGUUGUAUCAUGUGUAUAUAUGGAAACUGCUCCAGGUGUUUUAUAUUAUGAAAUCUUUGCAAUGUGAAUGCAGGUAGUAUCUAAACUUAUCAAGUCCCCUGCGAUUAUGCUUGAUUUUUGAAUAACUAGAAGCUAUUGCAAGGUGUUAUGAUGUUAGCUUGUUGUAGCUACUGUUAUCUCCUCAGGGUUUUUUUGGCAAACUGGACGCCACAAAGAUGGAUCUAUCCUUAUUGUAUAAACAGCUGGUCAAGUGAAGCUAGAUAUUACUCAAAUCAGCAAAUUAGAAGUACAUGUCAUCUUGCCCUGUUCUGUUACCUUUUUGCACAUACGAAAAUUCUAAACAAGGUUGGAGAUUGUAUCAUUCUUUUGCAGUUGUGUUGUAUUGUUGUUGUUUUCAAACAGUUGCCUAUGUGUAGGUUAGCCUUUUACAAUUUUUAUGUCUGUAGUUGCAUAGCCCUGUUUUUGUUUCAAAUUUAUGCAUUUUUUUAAUUCUGAAUCCUCUGAAAUUUGCAUAUGUAUAAUAAGUGCAGCCCCAGUUAGAUGUUAAUAUCUUAUCUUUGAUGGAUUUCCUGUAUCAAUCAAUAUACAUUACAAGCCUUGGCUCCAAGCCUCAAAGCCUCCAUUUUGACUUCUAAAAUUUCACAACAGUUUUUGAUCUUUUUUAUCUCAAAAAUGCAUGUACUGCAGUUGUCGGAUCUUUUUUAUUGUGCAACGUCUCUUUAUGUUCAAAAAAGAAGCAUAUUUUUUGUAUUCCAUGCUGUCACAGAUUCAGUUAUUUUGAUACAAAGACUCUGAUCUCUCUCUUUCUUUUAUGGCAGAUCUGAAAUCUGUCUGGUUUUCUGUUCAAAAACAGAAGCCUAGAUUUUCUUUCAAAAGUAGGCGUCUGGUUUUAAAAAAAAUAGCAGGCGACUGUUCCUGGUACAAAACCAGACGCUGAUCACUGGACAGACCAAAAAAAUUAACUGCCAAAAGUUCAAAAGCCGAAGGCGGCUGAAAAAAAAAUUGAAGUGAAAAAGUUGGAAACUUUACUGACAGGCUCACACGCGAGAUCAAAGCCGACACGAGCAACUCGGGAGAGGCCUGGCCGGCCCAAUACUACGUCCGUACGAUCCAACGGGAACAUCCUGGCACGGGCCGCGCCUCCUUUUUUCGGUUUCGGAGCCUCUCGUCCUGGCACCCGCACCAACCAUCUGCCGAAUUCGACCGUUGGAAUGAAACCGCAUCGCCCCGGCACGAGGAGGGUCAAAAGAAAACUGAAUCCGCAGCACCACUUCACGACCGUUGCGCGCACACUUCAAACACCCCAAAGCGCCCAGUCCUCCCCGUCAAGCCAGUCAUCAGCCCACAUCGUCGCUGGUCAAGAAAGCGGAACUGCAAAGAGGUUAGGGAGAGAGGAUUACUGCUGCUCCGUCGCCGAUCGCUGCGCCGAUGGGGUGCAUCUCGUCGAAGCUCCUCCCGCCGGGGCCCGGAGGCCACGACGCCGGCGCGCGUGCCACCGUGCGCGGCCGCGUCGACCACGUCGUCUCCCUCACCUCCACCACCUAUGGCGUCCUCGACCUCCAAACCAAGCACGGGGUCGCCACUGCGGCAUCAUGCCAAGCCAAGGAGCAGCUGCCGCCGCCGGAGCAGGACAAGCCGAUAAGCAGGGAGUGGAAGCGCGCCUCCAGCAAGCGCCCGCCGCCUCUCGUCGUCCCGGAGGUCAAGAAGCCGGCGCCGGCGCCGGCGGCCAAGCCGGAGUCCGGCAUGGAGGUGAUCAAUGCGUGGGAGAUCAUGGCCGGGCUGGAGGACGCCGAAUCGCCUGCGAAGAAGCCGGCCAAGCCGGGCCGUUGGUCGCCAGCCAGGGUCCUGGCCAUGGCCCUGUCGUCGCCCAAGAGGUCCUCGGCGAAGCGGAGGAACACGCCGGGGAAGGAGAACAGCCCGCUGCAGAGGUGCUCCGGGAACAACAGCAAGCCCAGCGACGUGGCCGACGAGGACAGGGUCCUCCGGCCGUACAACUCCAUCGACAACUCCAAGCUGUCCAGGGCGUCCAGGAGAUUCUCCUCCCCGGCCAGCGCCCGGAUCAUCCGGAAGCCCAACGCUGCUGCCGAGAGCGGCGGCAUGUCCUCUUCGCGUCGGAGCCUGAGCCCGCUGUUCGAUCCGGAGCUCCUCGCGUCCAUCGAGCGCGAGCUCUCGGAAGAAGGCGCACACAUCAAGCGCGUGGUUGGGUCCGAGAAGCCCAAGCAGCCGAAGGUGGUGCCGGCGAUCGUGGCGGAGGGCAAGUGCCCGCCCGGCGGCGCGGACGCCGUCGUGCUCUACACCACCACCCUCCGCGGCAUCCGCAGGACGUUCGAGGAGUGCAACGCGGUGCGCGCCGCGAUCGAGGCCCACGACGUGAAGGUCAUCGAGCGGGACGUGUCCAUGGACUCGGGCUACCGGGAGGAGCUGCGGCUGCUGCUGGGCGGGCGGGAGCUGCGCGUGCCCGCCGUGUUCGUCCGGGGCAAGCACGUCGGCGGCGCGGCCGAGGUGACGAAGCUGGAGGAGGAAGGAAAGCUCAGGGCGAUGCUCCAGGGGCUGCCGCGGGCGCGGGUCUGGUGCGCGGGAUGCGCCGGCGUGCGGUUCGUCAUGUGCAGGGACUGCAACGGCAGCCGCAAGGUGCGCGUCGACGGCGAGAAGAAGGAGACGGUCCAGUGCGGCGAGUGCAACGAGAACGGCCUAGUCCGGUGCCCCAUCUGCUCGUGAUUGAGGUUGAAGCUGUCUUGGAUUGGGUUGAUUUGCUUGUCUACCCGGUCUGGUGGUCUUUGAGCCUCGGCUCUGAUUUUGCGAUGUGUGCUUGUUGUUGCGCUCUGCAACGGCUAAUUUAACCAAAUGUAAUCUGUGCCCGUUCAUAUUGUUUCGUAUGCAAUUCAAUUGGUUUUUUUAUUGUUUCGAGUUGAAGCUUUCAAAGACUUUAUAUUGCUAUUGCAAAUUCGCCAUUUGGUUGUAUUAAAGUCGAUUACAGAGGGAUUUGUAAAGGUAAAUUCCCCUUUGUUUGUGCCUGAAUCACAACUACUCAAACUUUCAGAGUAGCGCUUAGACGGACACGUAUUUGAUACGAACGAUCUUCAAAAAAGGGCAGUACGUACUCAAAUUAUCAUUCAUCAAAUGAAUCAAACUUCAAUCAUCGCAAAAUCAAAGACAAAUAAAAAAAAAUAAGAAUCAAAAUAUCAAUCAUGGUGGAGGUUCCUAUUUAGCUACGAGCAACGAUGCAAAAGCUAUCUUCUGUCCACAAAGGUAUGCCUGCCUGAGAAUGUACCCGGAGUC
rnacentral:lncRNA from 1 species